rnacentral:lncRNA from 1 species
CUUUUAAAAGUACCAAGUUAUUGGGCCUGUAGAUUUUUAGCCAUUGGAUUAGAGAUAUGCGGUUUAGGAUGAUGUCGGCCCCUCCCUAGGGUUGAGUGCGGUGGUUGGUUGAAUAAUUAUAAUCUAAUGGGUGAAAAUGAUCAAGGAGUUGAUCUAACGCGUAAAAAAUUUACAAGCACCAUAGCUGGACUUUCUCUCUCUCUCCUUUCUCUCUCUCUCUAUAUAUAUAGAGAGAGUAGGCUAGGUAUGCUUAUGAAGCACGAAGCCCUCCGUGCUUGCUAAGUUGUUUUCGAUGUUCGGACUUUCAAAUCGUACGAUCGGCUCUGUUAGAGUUUAUCUAGAAUAUUUGAAGUACCUAGAAAAAAAUUUUGUGAUUUUUCGAUAUCAUUUGCCUAUGAUCGAAGGGGCUCAAAUCAAUAAUUUUAAUGGUCGUGGUGAGCCGUUGCAAGUUUAACGGUAUAGAAAUAUCCAAAUCACAUGAAAUUUUGAUAGAAAUUCUUUAUAUCAUAUAAAACAAGAUCAAUAACUUUGAUCUAAAUUUUAAUGUCAUAUCACAUAUUUGUAAGAUUUUUAUUUCAGCCUUGAUUUUGAGCUACUUCAAAAUCACUAGGCAAAUGAUAUCAAAAAAUCGCAAAAUUUAUUUUCUAGAUACUUUAAAUACUUUAGAUCAAGUCUAACGGAGCAGAUCGUCGAUUCGAAUAGUCCGAACAUCGAAAACAAAGUGGAAGCAUAGAACCCUCCGUGCUUUCAUAAGCAUCCUAACCGCACUCUCUCUCUCUCUCUCUCUCUCUCUCUCUCUCUCUCUCUCUCUCUCUCUUUGUAUAUAUAUAAUAUAUACUAUAUAUAUAUAUAUAUAUUAUAUAUAUAUAUAUAUAUAUAUAUAUAUAUUGUAGAGCUACUAUACUAUCGAAAGUAUAAAGUAGUUGGUGCUUCCAAUUUUUUAGUCCUUGGAUCAAAUAUUCUACGGUUCGGAUGAUAGCGGCUCCCUUAGGGUUGAAUGGUCUCGCUAGGAUUGAGUGGUCCCCGUUAGUUAAUAAUAUUAAUUCAAUGAUUUGAAAUGAUCAAUGGAGUUUAUCUAAAGGCUAAAAAAUCGGACGCACCAACUACUUUAUGCUUCCGAUAGUAUAGUAGCUUUACUUUAUAUAUAUAUAUAUAUAUAUAUAUAGAGAGAGAGAGAGAGAGAGAGAGAGAGAGAGAGAGAGAGUAAGGCUUCUAUGCUAUUGGAAGCACGGAGCCUUCCGUGCUUCCAGCUCGUUUUCGAUGUUGCGACUUUCGAAUCGUCGAUCGGCUCCAUUAAACUUGAUCUAGAGUAUUUGGAGUACCUAGAAAAUGAAUUAUGCAAUUUUUUGAUAUUAUUUGCCUAGUGAGCGAAGGGGUUCAAAAUCAACGGUUGAAAAUAAAAAUCUUACAAAACGUGAUAAUAUGACGUUAAAAUUUUAGAUCAAAGAUAUUGAUCUUGUUUUAUAUAGCAUAAAGAAUUUUCUAUCAAAAUUUCACGUGAUUUGAAUAUUUCUAUACCGUUAAACUUACAAACAGCUCACUGCGACCAUUAAAAUUAUUAAUUUUGAGUCCCUUCGAUUNCGGUGCAGUUUAAUAUAAUUUGAACUAUUUAAAUAUUGUAAAAAUUAAAUUUCCUCACUUUUUAGCAUUGUUAAUCUAGUGAUUAAAUGGUAUCAUAUUCAAUUUAUAGAAAUUUAACCAACGUAGAUCAAAUUUAACGGAGCCGAUCGACGAUUCGAAAGUCGCAACAUCGAAAACGAGCUGAAAAUACGAAAAACUCCGUACUUCCGAUAGCAUAAUAGCCUUACUCUCUCUCUCUCUCUCUCUCUCUCUAUAUAUAUAUAUAUAUAGAAUUGAGAAAAAUAGAUACCUCUUUGUAGCAUCGAGGGGCCACUUUUUCGUACAGUAAUACUAUGCGGACCCCACGUGCCCCUUCUUCUAUUAUCGGCCCAUUAUGAUGGGCCAAAUACGUCAUCAAAAUAGUAGAUGAAAAAAAAAAGGUGUCAUAAAAAAUAUUGAGAAACAAGGACAUGGGGGACCCCAUGGGGUAUGCGCAACAAAUCCUUGUUAUCCAGUUAGAAUCGGAUGAUGAAAGGUAAAUGGAUAUCUUUUUCUUUCUUUCCUUUUUUUUUUUUUUUUUUUUUUUUUUUAAGGAGAUCUACUUUUGCCACUGUUUUCGUACUUAAUUACAUCUUAGAGAGGUGGCCUCCAAUUGAGUGAGAGAAAAUAUUUGCCCAUUGAAGGGAUCAGAAGUUUGAUUCCCAGUCAGCGUGGUUAUUUUUUUUUUAGAGAUAGAUAACACGCUAUCCGCUUCGUUUAUUUCAUUAAAAAAUAAAUUUAGCUAAAAAUAUGAAUCAAUUAGAAUUUGAACUUAGGUCUCGGGUACCAACCACCAAGCUCUUUGACAUUGCUUUAGGGACGGUCGAUAGCGUGGUUAUUAAAUAGGAAUAAUUGUCUAUACACCUUUCAAAACUUAAAAAAUAUCUUAUUUAUUUUUAGUCUUUUUUUUUUUCAAUAUACAUCUUAUAUAUUCCUCUGUUAUUUUAAAAUACUGCUCCAGUUACCACCUGUUAAAUUAGCUUGGGUUAAACGCGAGUUAAAUAUCUAUUAGAGUUAGAAAAAAUCAAAAUGUUUCUUUUGCUCUUAACUUAAAAGACAAAUAAGAAAUGUUGAUGAUGGUAAAAGAAUAUAUUUGAAAAGACCAAAAAUCAAAGUAAUUUUUGUAUUCUUAAUUUAAGGGCAAAUAAGAAAAGUCAGUGAUGAUAGAAAGAUAUAUUUGAAAGGGCAAAAUAGUAAUUUUAUAGAAAUAGCAUGUAUUUUAAUAGUUCAUUAACAGAAUUUAAAGAUAUAUUUGAAAUAUAUUAGAACGUAAAAAGAGUGUUUUCAAUAUUAACUUUCUACGAGGGGUAAAUCAGAAAGUCGAAAAUCUUUCAGAAAUAUAUAAGCAAUUGCUCCUAUUAAAUAAGGCAUUUUAGCAUCAUUUUUUUUUAAAAUUUUUUAUGAUAAAGAGUUAGUUUUAUUAGAGAAUAUUUGUGUGGCUCAAAACACACACAAAAAUAAAAAGAAUUUUUGAAGUGAUUUUGGUGGAGUGAACUUUCAAUGAAAUUGCCUGCUUUCUCCGGAAGUAGUCACUUGGUGGUGACCUGUUAUUAACAAUCACUUUCGUCAGCGAUCCUCCCUAGAGUAAGUGGUAAAGAAUUUGGUGAUUAGUAUCCGAGAUUCCAAAUUCGAAUUCUAGUUACUUCACAUUUUCAGUUAAGUUUAUUUCUAAAUGAAACGAAACGGAUAGCAUGCUACCUAUCUCUUAAAACAACCACUUUCGUCCAUGCUCAACCAGUGAGUCGUCUUGCAAUCAAGCUCCCUUCUGCUUUUGCUUUUGAGGAUCAAUUUUUGUCCGCCUCGUCCUGUCCCGACCUGUCCCGUUUGAUUGAAAAAAAUAUAAUAAUAGAAAAGAAAAAAAAAAAAACUUCGCAUGUUUUUAUUAUCUUUUAGGAGGACUUUAUAUGCUAUGCAUUACAAAAUUAUCUAUUUGAAACUGGCCCACGGUUUACGUUCGCUAAUUUAUAAAUAUUAUUUUAAAAGCUAGGAUGAUGAUGAUAUCAAAAGCUCAUAUAUACAUAUAGGCCUGAAAAAAAGAAAAUUACAAUUUGAGAACUUUUAUCAUAUGAGACGCAAUUGCUUACCACUGCUGUGAUUUGGACUCUUGAUCUCGUCUUUAUCAUUUUUAUAAUUUACUGUUUGAAUAUUUUUAGUAGUUUAGAUCAAAUUUAUCAUUGUAAAUAAAAAAGGAUAAAAUCGCACAAAAUAUAUCUAAAAUAUGUAUCAUUUUGAAUCAGUUAUCUAAUUUUUUAGCUUGUUUAAUUUAGUUAGUAUAUUUCAUAUAAUUCUCACAAAUAUGAAUUUAUUAAAAUAAGUAAUUAGCUUGCUACCAUCUCAAAUCAAAUAAAUUAAUAUGUGGGGCAAUAAAAAUUAUAAUUUUGAAAGAUUGAAAAAUUUAUUCAAAAUAAUUUAUAGUUUAAAUAAGUUCUGUACGGCUCUACCAAUAAAAGAAAUAUAAGUAGGGUUUUUUGAAAUGCCAAUUGUGAAAGGAAUGCAUGGCUUUUACUCUUUAAUUCAAGUGGUCCAUGCACCUGCAAUUCACAUGCUUGGUUUAAACCCAUGUGGGUGUUAAAAAAGAUGUGUGAAAAUUAUGAAAAUGGAUAAAUAUUCAGAUCAAAUUCUAGUAACUGUAAGAGUUUAAAAAAAGUUCAUCAAUUUUUAUAAAUUACUGAUGCACCCUUUCUCAAAAUAUCUCAACACCGUAUUGUAUCGAGUACGACUAACCCUACAAAAUUUUUAAUUAUAAAAAUAAACAUCUAAAAUUUUUAUUAUGUAACUAGAGUUAAGCGUGCCCAAAUUUACAUAUUUUCUAUAUCUGAACCCCAAAUAAUAUAUAGGUUUAACGUUUUGAAAAAACGGUAAAUAGUUUACCAUAUUUAAAAAGUAGUUUUCAAACAGUAGUCUAUGUAGAUGUAAACUAAAUUCUCGAUACUCUGCUAAAAAAAAAAAUUAAACUGAUUCAAAAAUUUAAGCUCAUAAAUAAAAACACAUAUUAUAUUAUAUAUUAUAUAAAGGACAAAAUUCAUGUCCUUUUCCAUUAGGGGGACAUUUUGUAGAAUAGACUAGAAUUUGAACAGAAAAGGCUAAAAUUCUGAAUUUUUUUUUUUUUCUGUAGAGAAUGGUAAACAACUGUUGUGUCGAAUUAUUAUUAUUUUUUAAAAAAAUUUAAACAUUUGUAGUUUGUAAAAAUAAAGAAUAAUAAAAUAGUAAAAUAAUAUUAAUUCUUUUAUUGGAUAUGCUUAAACUGCAAUAUAUGCACGAGACCUGCUGCCUCAAUAGAUCCAACCAGUCACAGCCAUAUUGAUGAGAAAUAAUUGUGUGCACUCGGUGUAUCCGUACAACUUAUGCACCACAAAAUUUUUGAUGGCUAGUAUUUUAAAAUCAAAAUAUAUGUCAUUUGCACUAUCUGAAAUGUUUAUGUAUAAAAAGUAAAAAAAAAAAAUCAAAAUAUAUGUCUAAAAUUUGUUAGUUUUUGAAUGUCUUCCGUUAAUGAACUAAAAUUUGACUUUAUGAGUUUUAUAUCAGUAUAUUGUUACUCAUUUUGCAUUAAGGACAGAAUUAUAUAUUGGAUCAAAAGUAGAUAGGAUGAAAUUAUAUAAUAAUGCGUUAAUCUCGUUUUUCAAUUGGAUAAUGAUCAAAAAGUUUCUAAUGAAACUAAUGUGGAUCGUGUAAGCAAAUAAAUUAUUAUUUUAUUAUAGUUUUUACUAUAUAUAUUGUCUGUAAUUUCAAUCGUAAUCUUAUAUCUAGUUUCGAAUAACAGUAUCAAAAGUAUUUGUCUUUAUGGGUUGGAGGAGAAAAAAAUUAGGAAUGUUUCUGAUUAAUGUUUUACGCCUUUCAAAAUAUGAAGAUAGGUGCGACACGUACAGAUGCGUGUAUAUAUUACAGUACGGCAUGGUGCGCACUGGGUGCAAAUUUAAACAGGUAUGUAUCAGCCACAGUGGAAAGCGGGCCCCACCCGCCACAGCAGGACCAGCAGGGCGGGUGGGGGAUGAGGCUGGCGCCCAGCGAGUGCCACGUCAUCAUGUCUCCCGGGAGAUAGUGGUGGCUCACUGUAGCCGGCCACUAGGCCCCGGAAAGGUAGCCCCCCCCNNNNNNNNNNNNNNNCCCCCCCCCCCCCACUCUAGACCCGGCCCACGAAACAUCCCCAUCGCGAGCCGGGCCCAUCGGAUCCGGGACCACACCCGAACCGCGCUCGCCGUGUUCCUUCUCUUUACCCCCUUCAGUGGCAAACCGGCAAUUUCCCACCAACCGCGGUGGCCUUUUCCUACCUACGAACACCUCCUCGCCCAAUGGCGCGGUCGACACCUUUAGUAGGGCGAAGCGGUGCGGGACCCAGCGCCCCAUGUGCCCGCGCCCGCGCCCGCCUCCGCUGCAUAUCACGGGCGGGCCCCACGCGUCAGCGACGGAGCCGGGGACAUACACCCGUUACACCGAGCGUCCCCCUCUGUGUCUCCACCGGCUCCUGCCGCUCAAUGAUUAGUCCUCUUCUCCCCUCCCUCCAUACUCCCAUACUCUUUGCUCUUUACUCUCUCUCUCUCUCUCUGUAUCUCUCUCUCUCUCUCGCUGUGUGUGCGCGUUUUUCCCUCUCGCGCAGGGAAUAAUUAAGCUGUUCGGGAGGUGAGUGAGCGGCUAUCGUAUCUCUAGUUCCGGGGAAAAGAUAUGACGGCGCCAGACGGCGCGACUAACGGGAAACGGAGGGAGAGGGAGAAGGGAAUGGUGUUCCGCGGCGCACGGGGCCGGUUUAUGCGGGAAUGGUAGGGGGAAACGGAACGGGAACGGGAACGGGAACGGGGCGGUGACGGGGAAGAAGGCGCCGUCGAAGGACCGGCACAGCAAGGUGGACGGGCGGGGAAGGAGGAUACGGAUGCCGAUCGUGUGCGCGGCGCGGGUGUUCCAGCUGACCCGCGAGCUCGGGCACAAGUCCGACGGGCAGACCAUCGAGUGGCUGCUCCGCCAGGCCGAGCCCUCCAUCAUCGCCGCCACCGGCACCGGCACCACGCCCGCCUCCUUCUCCACCUCCUCCUCCUCCUCCGCCUCCGCCUCCCUCCGCGGCCCCGCCCCCUCCGCCUCCGCCCCCUUCAUCCUCGGCAAGCGCCUCCGCUCCGACGCCGACGCCGCCGACAAGGAGGACGCCGCCGCCGCAGCAGCCGCAGCAUCGGCGGUCGGGGUCGGGGUCGGAAUCGGGCCCUCGGGAGGGUUCUGGGCGCUCCCGGCCAGGCCGGACUUCGGGCAGAUAUGGAGCUUCGCCGCGGCGGCGGCGGCGGCGCCGGAGAUGGUCGUGCCUCCGGCGAGCUUCUCCGGGAGGUUCGCCGCCGCGGCGGCGCAGCCGGUGGGGGAGGCGUCGGCGGCGAGGGUGGGGAACUACCUCCCCAUCGCGCAGGGGCACCUCAACCUCCUCGCCACCCUCUCCGGGGCCCCCGCCGCCACCUCGGCGGGGCGGAACGAGGACGAGAGCCGCUAAUUCGGCGCGCGGGCCCCGCGCCAUCUCUAGGGUUAGGGUUUCCAAUUUUUAGAUUCGGAGAGUGAUGUCGAAGGUUCAACAAGUAGCUAGAGUGUUCCUCAUUGUCCAACUUAUCCUGCUUUUCUCCUCUUCGCAAGAAAAGGUAUUGGAAGAGAGACAAAAAUAGAAAAGGAGGAUUAAAUGCUCUCUCUCUCUCUCUCUCUCUUUCUGUCUCUCUCUCUCUGAAUUUGUGUGGAGAAUUCAGAAGGGAAACACCCCCCCCCAAAAAAAAAAAAAAAGCUUCUGGAUUUGCCCUGUAAGUUCUCUCUGUGUUCAAGUCCAUCUGUAAUUUAGUCAUUUUUCAUGGAUUUAUUAUUAGCAUUUGGGAAUAAUUAGUUGUUUGUAACUGUGUAUGUAUUUAUGGAUUGUUUGAUGGUGCAUGAGUGCCAAUAAAAACUGUACCUUUUUUUAUUGCUGCUAAGUCACUUUCUCUUGUGCCAUGUUUUUUCCCCCAUCACAGCUGUUCUCUAUUGAAUGAUAUCUCACCAACCAUUGUUAGUGGUGUUACAAUUUACCUGUUAGAGGACUUGUUUUCACUGGUCGUAGGAGCAGGUAAUUGGAGUUACAAUAACACUCUAGUGAGAUUGCUGCUAUGUAGUGGCAAACAAGUUCUCAUUGAGGGAAUCUCUUUAAAGUGUUCUUUCCUUUUUGUGAUGUGGGCAAUUCAUAAAAGUGGCAGGACUAAUAUUGGGAUUUUCCAUUAAAGUUGUGUUGAAUCAUCAUUUCCUGUGCUUCAUCCUGAUUUCUUCAUUGGGGUUGUAAUACACUAACAAAGGUCCACAUUUUAUCCAUUCUUUUUAUGCAUCGCGUCGUCUUUUUGUCUACUUUUACCUCAAAAAGUUGUUUUUGUAUCCGUUUCCGAAGUUCUUCGUUGAUCUACAUAGUAGCUUGUGUAUGUGCUUUUCUGCUUCUGCUUCUACUUGAUUUUUCUCCUUACUGCAUCAUUUUGUGGCCUUGUUUUGGAGUUCUCUUUCAAUCUAAAAUGCUAUGUUGCUUGUAAUGAGCCGCCUCGUAGUGAAAGUUGUUAGGGAGAUUGGCUCCAUUUAUAUUAACAGCUUAAGUUCAUAGGUUUGGGCCUGGUCGUAUAUAUCGACCCUUUACUGUUUCCGCGCAGGACUCUUUUCGCAUAUGAAUUUGCAGCUUUAGUAUAUUAUUGAUCAAGGCUGUCGUAGGCGUGAGUAGGUGCACACUGAAGCAGUCUUCAUCUUGUUAAGGAAACCUGAAAGGGUGGUCCUCACUAUCUAGUAUUUUCAAUAAGUUGACCUUUCUUUUUGCAUCUUGGUACAAGAAGUCUUUAUUGGGUGGUCCAUGUUUCUUAGUCUUUUUGAUAAGUGAGGGUUAGGUGCCUCAGAAGAUGCAUAUUCUAAGUUAAGACAAUGGACUAAUUGGGUUAGGUCUGUAUGGAAUUUGAAAUCAAAACAAUUUCUUCUCCGAACGGUCAUGACAAUCACCUGGGCUGGAUAAGCCCAAUGAGAAAUUUACUUAUUACGAUCGAAGAAAGUUGCAGCCUCUUGUAGGAUUCUGUCCGAUUUAAGUCGUGAAACCAUUUGGUCGAUGCACAAUAGAUGGUUAAUAUGAUCAAAAGCUUAAAUACUUCUUGGAAUUGUUGAAAUAAGUACUCCGAUACAUUCUGUAUAGUUCUAGCUUGCAUCUGUUAUGCCUCCAUGGCGAUUCCGAUGUGAGAAUAGAUCUUUCUUUCUGAAAAUGCGCUUUCAACCUUCUUUUUUCGAGAAAGAAAAUUGCAUUUUCAGUUUGAUCCAUUUUCAUUGCACUGCUGCAAUAUCUAAACCGCACAAGAUUAUCGGCCGGUAGUUAUUACUUGAGAAUUCCGGAGAGAAUCUUCUCGAACCGUAGCCGACUCAACCCAAGCCAUGAUUUAUCAACUAAUUUGGUGCCUAGAAUUCAGUUAUUCUCCACAUUGUGCUUGAAAACUCCUUCAGGCUUUAUCAAAACCACAAAUUGACUGUCAUAAUCUGAUGAUUAUUGUGCCAAGACAAGAUAUGCUAUGAACAUUCUACAUUUUGAGGAUUAAAUGGUCCUUCGAGUCGGCUAUCAGGAAAAGGUGCAAGAUGAAUGUAGUGUUGACAGCCAUUUAGGGUUCCUUUCGUGAUUUAUGUCUCUAAUCGGAGUCUUUCUAUCAGUAUCCUGUUUGGUUCGAGGAAAGAGACUUCUGAAAAUGCAGAUGCAGCAUUAAUUUGUUCAUCAUUGUGAAAAUUGUUGACUCUAAAGAGUGUUUCUGCAAUGUUUGUUCAUUGUGACAAUGAAAUGUAGCAAUGUGUCCUGUCCUAAAAGUUACAUUUGUUUUGAACCCCCCCUCUGUUUUGGUAAAUCAAGAAUCAAGAUUGCCCAUAUCUCUCAACCAUGCAUAGUAAAAAUUCCUAUAUUUUAAAUCUGUUGCUUGUUUCUUUUAGAGAUCUCUCUCAGGAUUAUGGCACAGCAAAUCUUUCUGGUUUCUCUUAUUAAAAGUUGUUUUCUCCCUAGUCAAAAGGGCGCAGAACUUCAUCUCUACUAUCCAUCGCUUUCCGCAUUUUAAUUUUACUGUUCAAUCUUUCAAUUUGUUUGAUUUUAAAAGUUCAGCUAAUUACUUUAUUGAAUUAUUGUUGUGAGAAUUUAUUAAAUCUGUAAAAAUAAACGGCGUAUUCGAAUUUUAAGUUCAAAGUAUUAUUAACUGAACUGGAUAGUAAAAUCAAAUUUUGAAAGAUUUGAUAGCCAACUCAAGAUGCUUCAUAGUUCACGUAAGUUUUGUACCUUCAUUGAAACCGUAAACAUUGACGAUGCGACACACAGCAACAGCGGUAGAAAAGCAAAAACCCCCAGAAGCCUCAAUCCUAGCUCCUACUUUGCACGGUGUUGGUCGCCCACACGGCGGCGCCGUAAAUGACGACGUUGCCGUCGCCCUGCACGACGAGGCGGUAGCUGUUGGGCCCCCGCGCGCUGUUGCUCGUCCACAGCACGUCGCCGCCGCCGCCGGAGAACACGACCAGGUUCCCGCUGCUCUGCAGCUCCGCGCGGCAUGCGGUACCCUUGCGGUCGGUCUGCGACGACCAGAGCGCCCGGCUCUUGUUGACGUACAGCACCAGGUUGCAGUCGGACUGCAUCACGAGCGUGUACGGGCCCCUCUCCAGAAACUGGCCUGCAGUCAGGCUUUCCCCUGAAAAUAUCAUGUCCUCCGCUGCGACUGACAGAAUAAUCAUCAACAAAAUCAUCGUCGCAGUCGCAUUCGGUGCGAAUCGAAAUGCCACCAUAUUGGUGCUGGAUCUUAUUAUUAUUAUUAUUGCUGUUGUUUUCUUUUAUUAUUGCUGUGUUGUUCAUCUUGCUGAGCUAUUUUUAUAGACGUGAUCCUACCCUUUAACGGGCUUGUAUUUAAUGCUGUGUUCAAAUAAACAAGAGGCUUCGUUUGGUUUUAUCCUUUUUUUUAUUUUUUUAAACAUUAAUUUUAUAUGACUUUGGUGCGUUGGAGAGUUUUUUUUGUUGUCAAAUAACUAUUUUGGGUGAAAUGAUCAUAAGCAAUUUUUUUACCCACUUCCAUAUUUUUAGAUAUAUAACAUUCUUUUUUAGAAAAAAUAUAUACAAUACCAAAUGAGGCCUAACCGAGCGAAAAAAAAAAAAAAAAAAACUUUGCAAGGUAUUUGGUGAAUUUCAAAUAUUUGUAGGAAUUUCAAGUAACUAUAAUAUAUUUGUUUUGACAACACUAAUUUUUAAAAUAUACGUGCAAAAAAAAGGAAAAGAAAAUUAGUUUAUUGUUUGAUUUUAUUCAAAAUAGCAUUGAAAAAAAAAAUAAAUUUCAAAUACCAUCUCUGUAGUUUCUUACUUUCUAACUUUAGUAACCUACAGCUUAAAGCGUAUCAAUUUAGUAUUCUGUGACAUCCUGUGGUUUUAUUUUUCUCUUUUCGUCAGCUCCUUCGUUAGCAUUUCGUUAAAUUAUAUACAAAAAUUUCAAAUAUCCACAUAAAUUUAUCGAAUAUCCAAUUUAGUAUCUUUUAGUUUUAACUUUGUCACUGAAUUUACGAAAAAAAAUAGUAAAAAAAUAAUAAAAAAAUAAAAAUAAAAUUAUGGAAGUAGUAAAUUAAUACACUUUAAAUUAUAUGGUACUAAAAUAAGAAAAAUGUAAUCCAGAGAUAGAAUUUAAAGUCUUUUUUUGAAAAAAUAAAAAUGGUUUGUUAAAGUGGGUCCUCGUAGUGGGUAAGGUUCAUUGUUAGCUUUAACGGACUUUGUUCAUUAGUCAACGCCGCCGAGUAUGAAUUAUAUAUAUAAAUGAUGAUGACGCAGCCGUACAUCAUCUUCAACGUUAUCUGGUGGAAAUUGUGGACUCUUUGGUCAAAGGUGUUCACUCCUUUUCCAUUGCAAGUCAAUCAAGUGGUAGUUUGGCGACACCUGCUAUAGACUCUACGAAAGACGGCGAGUUCUGCUGUAUCAAACGAACUCGACUUCCUGCGUCGGGAUCGUAAAGUCGCGAGUUCGCGCCGCAUCCAAACUCGCCGUCACGCGAGACUGUCUUGCCCGGAAGGAGAGAUGUCAAUCGAUAUAGAUAUCCGAAAUUUUAUCCGAAUUCGAACCCGAAUGAAACGGAUAUAUCCGAUGGAUAUGGAUAUGGAUUCGAAUAUGGAUAUAAAAAAUAGAAAUCCAACGGAUAUGAAUUCGGAUAUGGAUUUUGAUUGUACCCGAACCGAACCCGAACCCGAACCCGACCCGAACCCGAAUUUAUUUUGUAUUAUAUAUAUAUAUAUAUAUAUAUAUUUGAUGUUAUAUUUGAAUUUGUAUUUUAAAAAUUUAGAUUUAAUAUAAUAUAUUUUGAAAUACUUAAAAUAGAAAUAAUUGUUUCGGGUUCAAAUUUUCAGAUUCGGGUUCGGGUUUCGGAUUUUUGGUCGGAUUCGGAUUUGGAUAUGGAUUUUUAAAAUCCGUUGAGUUCGGAUUCGGAUUCAGGUCUCGGGUUUGGAGUCGGAUUUGGGUUCAGAUUUUUAAAAAUCCACCCCGAAUCUGACCCAUUGACAUCUCUACCCGAAAGUGGACCGUUUGGGCCCACCGACUUUCAAGAUCAUAGCGUCGCCCAAAUGCCGGCGGCUUUACAGCUGGACCCCAGCUUCUGUAGAAAGAGACAUGCCUUAUUAAAGUUUAGGCGUAGGACGUCGAAUCGGAAAAUCUACGAAAUCAAAUCAAUUCACUGAUUUUUUGAUUUAAAUUUAAUUGAAUUUUGCUUGUAAAUGGUAUAAGUAUUGGUUUACAAAAUUAAAUUGAAAGAACAGAAGAGUAGGUUUGAAAUUGCCAAACUUUCCAUACUAUUAUUGUAUCAUUCCUCUCAUCUAUGGCUAGAGAUUCUUUGAUAUAUGCAGAGUUUGGACUUCAUAUUAAAUUUGUGAAAAAGCAAAGAAAGCAUUUGAAUUCAGGAUUUUUUUACUAAGAUACUAAGUCCAACAUUUGGUCUCUAAAAUUAAACUAAAAGUUUCACAAGAUUUUGUUUUAAUAUUUAAUAUUCAACGCACACCAAAAGUGACAUGGACAUGUUCCAUUUGGAAACAUGCUUGAUUUAUUUUAGUUUACUUUGAUGUAAAUAGAGUAGCACAUUGAAGUGAUCAGUUUGUUUUUUUGAGAAAAAGUUGUUUUUUAAGAGAAAGGUAGUAUGGUUCAAGAAUAGUACGAAUUUUGAAAAUAUGCUUCUAAUUUUUUUAUCAUUGGAUUAAUAAUUAUAUGGUUGGAAUGAUUGCGGUUUUCUUAAGGAUUGAGCAGUAUCUAUAAAGUUGAGUGGUUUCUACAAGGUACUAGGAGGUGAUCUAAGGGCUAAAAAGUCGAAAGCACUAGAUCCUCUAUGCUUGCAAUAGCCUAGUACUCUCUCUCUCUCUAUAUAUAUAUAUACAGAGAGAGAGAGAGAGUGAGAGAAUUAUGCUAUUAUACUAUCGAUAGUAUCAAGUGCUUGGUGUCAUCGAGUUUUCGGCCGUUGAAUGAAAGAAUGUACGGUUAAGAUGAUAGUAGUCUUCUAGGGUUGAGCACGUGGUUGGUUGAAUAGUAUAAUCUAACGGAUGAAAAUGAUCAAAGGAUAGAUCUAAUGGCAGAAAAUUUGAUAGCAUCAAGAGUUUGAUACUAUCGAUAACAUAAUCACCUUACUCUCUCUCUCUCUCUCUCUCUCUCUAUAUAUAUAUAUAUAUAUAUAUUCCUUAAAAUGCAAUGGACCCAAAUCCGAGCACAAACAAAAGAUUUUAAAUUGUUUGGCUAUGUUUAUUAAUCCGAGCCCAAGGUGCACUUCCUUAAAAUGCAAUGGACCCGAAUCCGAGCAACAAACAAAAGAGUUUAAAUUGUUUGGUUAUGUUUAUUAAUCCGAGCCCAACAUCAGUGAGCCUAACAUUAACCUAUCACUACCCGAAAAGGUCGGAAAAUUAAAUCUCGCAAUUGUUUUAUUUCGCUAAAUUUUCUGGUGAUCUAAGAAGCAAUAUAUCAAAUUAAUUUUCGUACUCCAUCAUUUUGACUUUAUGUAACUAUACGGAUUAUCCAAUUUUUAAUUCAGCAGUUUAAUUUAAGUGGCAACAUUAAUUUGGAAUCUUAAAUCUGCAAGCAAAUAUAAUUAUGCGGAUCUAAAACUCCCCUGUCUCUAGCAGCUAAAAGACAAAAAAAAAAAAAAGGUAUAAAUAAAAAAAGUUGUUACCUAGUAAAAAUGUAGAUAAUUGUGAACAGGGUUCAUAAAAUAAUUUUGUACAAUAGACUCUUUUAGGAUAUUAAAACAAGUAGACAUUCUCUAUUGCUCUCCUUUCCAUAACCAAUAAACCCAUUACACUACAAAAACAUUAUUGGCAUGGUGUCCCUUUCCAUCAAACUGUACAGCAUAUGAAUGGAAUAGGGCAUCCCCAACUAUUACUCACUAAAGAAGCAAAAACAAAAACAAAAAACAAAAAAAGUUUUUUUUUUUUUUUUUUUUUUUUUUUUUUUUUUUUUUUUUAUUAUUAUGAAAAAGACAACAGCUGGCUUGCAGAUUUAAAUGCCACAAGGGCACCAUAAAUAUAUCCUAACUAGAUUUCCUUCUCUCCGUUAAUUUUUCUGUUAAAUCAGUAAAAAAGUUAAAACUACAGUGUACUAAAAUAAAAAUUUGAUAAAUCAUAGGAUAUUAAAGUGAAUAUUCGAUAAAUCAUAGAUGAGUAUCUGAAGUUUCUUCUAUAUGAUUUAGCGGAGAGUUAACGGAGGUGCUGGCAGAAAGAAAAAAAUAAAAUUACAAGAUAUAAUUUUAUACUUUCUCCGUGCACUCUUUUCUCCUCUUUUUUUUUUUUCUUUUUUUUUUUUUUUCCGACAUGGUGCAAAUAUUUAAAUUUCACCCUUCAAUCGACAUUGAUUUCCGCAUAAUAUCGCAUAUCAAAUUUGAUUUGUUUGAAAAUGAAGAACAUAAAUAUUGUAUCGUUUAUUGCGAUUAGCUGCAUCUCGCAUUCUACACCUCAAAAGUUUACAUAUAAAAUCAUUCGAUUUCUAGAACAUAAUGAAUGAUGUGAAGGAAAACAUAAAUUCCGCGUUUCUNUUUUUUUUUUUUUUUUUUUUUUUUUUUUUUUUUUUUUUUAUUAUUAUGAAAAAGACAACAGCUGGCUUGCAGAUUUAAAUGCCACAAGGGCACCAUAAAUAUAUCCUAACUAGAUUUCCUUCUCUCCGUUAAUUUUUCUGUUAAAUCAGUAAAAAAGUUAAAACUACAGUGUACUAAAAUAAAAAUCUGACAAACUAGUGUCCGAGAACGUGACGUAUUUAGUUGAACUUAUUCAACUUAAAAGAUUAAGUCAUUAGGUCUGGACUCAUUAGUAUAAAUUAACUAUUUUUACUCUCAUAUAAUUAUUCGAAGUGAGAUCAUUUAUAUAUGAAUUUUUAACAUUCUCAACCAACAAACAAUAAUCUAUGUGCCAACUUGAAAGUAGGGCCUAGUGGUUGAAUCAGUCCUGCUUGUUGCUUGUUAGUAGAUAAUGAGAUUAACUUUUGUGCAUAAAUAAAAAAAAAAGCUUCAAAUACUAUUCCUGUGGCUUCGCGUUUUCUUACUUUAGUAUCCUAUAGUUUAAAGCAUAUCACUUUAGCGAGCUGUUUGAAAAAACGACACUAACAUUUUUCUAUCAAAGUGUUUGUUUACCAACUUAGCUACUGAAGUACACAAACAGAAACCUCAUUAUUUUAAGAAUCUAGAAAUAAAAAUGUAAGCCGUUAAAUGUGAACUUGAAUUUUUUUUUUUUUUUAGUUGCGACAUAUUUUUGCAGCAAAUUGAUUUUUAGAUUUUCUCAAAAGCACAUCUUGAUGAGGAGACAAAGCACGCUUAUUAGCUGCUGCUGCUGCUGCUGUUGCUGUCACAGGUGGUGUUUGUCGUUUUUUCUCACCAAACUCCGGGCCAGGUAAUGGGCUCUGAGGGGGCCCACACCCGGCCCAUGAAUAGCCCAAACUGCACGUAAGUGAAUGCUCCUGUCACAGCCGACCAUCCCAAAUGUAGUCCAUCAUCCUCCUCCAUGAUCCAUGACUACUCCACCAAUCGUUUUCCUCCUACACCCCACACACAAUUUUCUUUUUUUUUUUUAAAAAAAAAACUUUUCUAAAGAUAUUAAAAUUAGGGUUAAUUGCGUGCAGGUCUCUAUAAAUAUAGUGAAUUGAAAAUAUAUACUUACAGAGUUCAACUUCAUAUAUUGUUCUUACAAAGGUGUCCCUACCGUUAUAAUCCGUUAGUGGACCACUUUAUCCCUCUUAUUGGAGGGAGAUAUUUGUGAUGGCGAAAUUGACAUUUCACUUAUUUGCUAUUAAAAUAUAAACAGUUUUCUAACGAUAACAAACUAGAGGGAUAUAUUUGAAAAUAUUAAGACUUUUGUAGGGACAACAUAUGAAAUUUGAACUUUGUAGAGAUAUAUUUAUAAUUCACUAUGUUUGCAGGAACAUGUAUGCAUUUAACCUUUACAAUAAUCUCAAUUUUCUUGUCCAUUUUCGUAAGUAUUAGCAUUUGUCCGCCACUUGACAUUUUUUAGGUUCCGAUGUCUUUUUACUCAAAAAAAAAAAGAAGAAAAUAAAUAGCCACACUGGCGAGACAUGCUUAAUCUGGUGGAACUAUCAUUAUGUGUCGAGUUUAAUCAAAUUUAAUUAAGAAAUAAUAACUAAUUAAAUUCACUAAAUUUAUCGGUCAAUAUCUAAAUCAUUUAUAUUGAUAGCGUCGUUUUUUGUAGCUGGAAACCAUUUUUGAGGAAAUUGCGUCGUUUUCUCCAUUUCUUUCACUACAACAUCAUAUAUUAAUGUUUUAGCAUAUGAAAAAUAUUUCCAUAUAAUACAAACAAUUUUUUUUCCGAAAAGAUGGUUCGAAUGAACUUAUCAGCAUAUAAUGAAGCUCCAUGUUUAUCCAUUUUUGCUGACAUAUCCGUGGGAAUUAUUGUACCUUACUAUCCGAGUUGUUUUCAAUGUCUACAUAUUUGUACUCAAAAUCUUAGAGAAGAUCACUUCGAUUGUCACUAGCAUUGAUCAGUAAAAUGAUGCGAGCAAUCGAAAUAUAUAAUUAAACAAGAAAACGCCUUUAUAACACUUUGAAUCACCAAAUAUCCCAUCUUAGUACAGUCAAAAACUGGGGAAAUAAAGAUGCUACAUACACACACUAGUUUUACAAGAAUUCGCUUUUGGGAGAAGCAUGAUGUUGCCUAGUUAUAUGUUAUUCCUAAAGUGAGAGCGCACUAAAACAACCCCACUUGUCAAUGUUUAGGGGGGGAGAAAAAGGGCUCACUGUAGAUAAUAUGAUUUAAGUUUGGGCCCACAAUGGAAUGAGAGUCCAAAAUAAUUCAAAACCUUGGUGUGCGUGCAAUCCAAAAAAAAAAAAAAAAAAAAAAUCAUCUGUACACCAGGUGUAUUUGCAUGUCUCAUGGACCGUACUUAGUACUUAAAAGGUUAUGUCGCAGUGUCAAAUCUGUUCCGAUAGAAGUGAUCCGUAAUAUUUAAGGCUCCGUUUGGUUCAGGCGAUAAGCGGAGAUAACACAAGUUAUCUCCACUAUUCCGCCAAAAGGAGUGAUGUUUUACCGGAAUAUUUUAUCCAGGUCAAAUUUUGCUAUUUUCGGUUAUUCCGGAAUAGUAAGAAAUUUGCUCUUUCAAUUCUUAAUUUCAAACUUAAUUAAAAUUAUAAAUUGAAUUAAAACUAAAUUAUAUAAAUAUAGUAUGUUAUAUAUUAUAAUACAUAAUUUUUAUUAUAAAAUUAUUAAUUGUACUAUAUUAAUACAUAUUAUUUAUAUUUAAAUAUUAUAAUAAAUUUUAUAUUAUCAAAUUCAGGAACUCUUACAACAAAGGGGCUUUAAUACUGAGUUGAUACUAUAUUAUCUAAAAGAUCGAUCUGAUUAAAAACAUACUUAGAAUAGUUUUAGCAUAUAAUACAUAUUAUGAACUAAACUUUGACUAAAAACCUUCAUAUAGCAAGGUUUUAAAGGUGCAGUGCCUAGUGCAUCAUGUGGUUUGAUGCUUAAUUUCUUCUUGAAGCUCUCCACUCCUUUCCAAGAUGGUCUCCGUGCCAACCUUUGGUGGAAAGGCAUUUAUCGUCGGCGAUCGCGCGAGAGUAUGGUGUCAUAUAGUGAAAAAGCAGAUAUAGUUGUACAUUUCACGCACUCUAUAUACAUAUAAUUUUAAAAAAUCGAGAGCAUGAUCUUCUGAUUUUGUAGUCAAUUUUCCCUUGAAUUUUUUCGGCGAUAUACCAUUGUAAUCCCGUCCACGCCACGUAUUCAAUAACAGUGAGUACGUUGUUCGUGGUACGUAGUUGGACGAUGAAGAUUGGAAGAUGAGGUGAAAUAAACGUUCGAAGGGCGUAGGAGAGCACGGGACGUAUGAAUGCACCGCGUCCAAGCAAAUAUUUUUUGAAUGCAGUGGGUGGUUACCCUUCCCUCCUCCUCCCUUCUAUUUGCGAAAGAAAGUGUGCAUACGCGAGAGAGGAGAAAAAGAGAGUCAUGCGCCGGCCUAUUUUGUAAAGUGAAGUGGCGCCUCUCCUGUCCCGCUUUCUUUCGAGUGGGCGGUCGCAUCCCCGACCCCAUCUUCGCAUGCACAGGUUCUAGAUUUAAGCUCAUACUACUUAGGCUUGAACCUCUGACCUCAUUAUCGACACCAAAGUUUAUUAAAUAGAAUUAACUAGAUUAUUUUGAACACAAGCCAUAGCGCAACACGUAGAAAACUACUAUUCUUUGGAGAUUAAUAAAUUACGAGGGAGAUUACUAAAUCAUGGUGCGCAGAUGGAUGUACGGAAGAGGCAGAUGCAUGGAGAUAAAUACAAUUGUGUUAGCUUUGAUGGUUGUUAACAAUUUAAUUUAUUCCUUGCUUAAAAGUAGAGCUACAAGUACAUAACAAGAUGUUUCUUUAUAGAUAUAUUAGAGAGAUGAGAAAAGGUCAAUUGGAUUCUAACAGUUAUAAAUUAAAUUGUCACUAAAUGCCAACCAAGUCCUCCUCUAGGUUAGAAAAGUAUUGUGAGGUACAAUUAUACCAUCAUAAUUAUUGAUAUUGAUAUUCGAGACUAGUAUAUGUAUAUUUUUAGCAAUUAUAUAAUCAAGUUUCAAUAAAUAUAAACUUUCCAUCAAUAUCAACAUCUUAGGUCUGGUUUCGAAAUGUAUUGUCCAAACAUACUCAAAAAUAGUGGUCGAGAACGUAAUAAAGAAGCAUCCUUUUCUAAGAUAUAAACUAGGUGCAUUUAGGUACCGUUUGGUUUGGGUAUAAGCAAGAACUAGCUAUUACAGGGAUAGGUACAAGUAUGGGGAUAAGAAAAAUAGUGUUUGGAUGAAAAUUGGGUUGUUCUCGGAGAUAAGAACAAUUUUAGGUAGUUUUAUAUAGAAAAUGAAGGUGUUGGUGGGGAUAACCGAGACUAUUAUUCUCGGGUAAAAAAUUAGCGUUUGGAUAUAAAGGGGGGGAUAAGGGCCUAUUCCUAUCCCUAUCUCCUAACCAAACGCUGAGAGAACAUAUUUACAGACUAGGUCUUAUUAAUUUCUGGAUGUUGCAAUGCUUAUCUAAGUUUUAGGGCUAUAGAUGGGAUCUAGAAUGAACAAAUUGGCUCGAUUUGGGUUGGAUCUAAGAGGUAAAACCAUAUGAUCUUCCAUAUAUGGCCUAGAAAAGUAAAGCUUAAUAAAAAAUAUUGGUGUAAUAAUUAAGAUACUCAUCAAUUUAAUAAGGAACUCUCUUUAUUUAAUAAAAAGUGGUCUUCAAAAGAAGUUAGAGAUCGAUUCCUUUCUCACUCACUAUAGCUAGGCAUGUCUUUAAUUGCCUUGACCAACUUUAAGCACAUAUUUAAGAGGUGUCUCAAAUUAAGCUAACUCUUUGCACAUGUGUCCCUCCAAAACUCAUAUUUCAUCUGUGUCCCUGAAAAAUAUAUGUAUAUGCAUGCACAAAUACGUGUACGUAUAAUUUUUCUAUCAAAUACACACAUGUUAAUAGCUAAUUUUCCCAUCUAGGUUAUCUUCAUCAUGGAAACUAUAUCUAUAACUGUUGGUGAGAUUCCUCCUUAAUCUCGCUUCUCUUUUACGAUAUAUAUGAUCUUGAAUUUGCUCCCUAAGUUGAAAACUUUUUCAUUUUACUUAAGUGACAGGUGUUUUUUUUUCAAUUUUUUUUUUCAAUUUUUUUCCCUUUAGAUAGUGAUGUAUCAACUUUUCUUAGCUCACUCAAUCCAAAUUAUAUGGUCACUGGACUAGUGACUCAUCUAUCUGAUUCUGAGGUCAUUUUCUUCUUUGUAGGAGAUAUCUAGUUAGUUUACCAGGUCCCAGUACAUUAAAUUUUUAUUUUAUUUUUUUAUUUUACCAUGAGGAUGGAAAGAAAAUUAAGUGGCAUUAAUUGCAUCAUAUUUUGGCAAAGCUUAGUUCACCAAGAGACUUACAUCCUCUAAAGAGUAAUAAUUUUGAUAGAAUAGGGCCCUAGCUAUAUCCCUUCUACCUCUAGACAAAAGUUACAAGUUUCUUAUUGUUAGUUUAUUACUUGGUUUCAUCUAAAUAGAGUGGUGACUUCAAAUUUGGAAAAAGAAUUGAACACAAUUUAGGAUUUAGACGACUAGAUUUGUCGAAUUAAACACCCGGCCAUUCCUCGAAUUUACGGUAGGUUUUUGAGAAUUUCCAAUUUAGUUUUUGCAAUCAAUGUAUCACUUGUUAUUAUAGUUGGAGUUAGGAGUAACACUUAAUGAGAGUUUGGUGUUUUGGUUGAAUCUUCAAUAAUUGGUCCAAAGUAAGCUCAAGAUAUUUUCUCUGGUCAGGUAUUGAUCACCUGAUAUUUGGUUGGUGAAUUAUGGUAUAUAUAUGUAGGCAAGCAUGUUUAUCAUCCCUAGCUAGAUACUAUUAGGAAUUGCUCAAUAAAUAAUGCUACACCAUUUAGUUCUGUUUUAAGACAGGAGACUUAUUGAAACCACUUAUCAUGUCAUUCGUCAAUACGUCGUUGUUCAACGUAACUCCUCCUUUAAAAGCACGUUUUGUUGUCAUGCGUUUAUUUUGUUUUCAUUCAAUAAUUCAGUCAGCAUUUUCAAGGAAGAGAUGCUUAAUGUAUCCUAAAUUUGGAACUUUAUUACUUUAUUGAUUUGUUGGCGCUCACAUAUUUAGGAUUUAAAGUUUAAAACUUAUGGUAUAAUAAUGAUAUGAUGCUUAGAGUUUAGCGGUGAUAUUCAGGAUUUAGUAACGAUAUUUAGUGUACAUUAAUGAUGUUGCCAUGCCAUCUAUGACAUUACGAGGAACUCCAAACGGGUAGCUAUAACGUAAAGAAUUAUAAUCUUUGAAUAGAGAUAAAAUUGAUACAUAAAAUCAAAUCGGAGGUUUCUAAAUGAGAUGUAUUGAGCACUCACCACUGAAGUUUAUUUAAUUCCUAAAUUCGAAUCAUAUUUAGAAAUCAUUUGAUGAAUAAAUAAAUCUAGAUCGUCUACUAAUGCUGAAGUAAAAUGUUGUCGUGUGUGCAAUUGUGUACAUGCGGGGAGGGGGAGAGGGUUCUAAACACUUUGUUUUAUUCAAAUAAUACUUCUACAAUAUAUAAUCUUAACAAUAUUCAUAAUAUACCGACCAUCCCUUACGCAAGUGGCAAAAGGAUUUGAUGGUUGGUACCCGAAACCCAAGUUCGAAUCCUAGUUGAUUCACAUUUCCAGCUAAAUUUAUUUCUAAAUGAAAUAAACGAAAUAGAUAGCAUACUACCUUUCUCUCAAUAAUAAUAAUAAUAAUAAUAAUAAUAAUAAUAUUCGUAAUAUUUCAAUAAAGAUAAUUAUUUCAUUGGCAAAUUUGGUAUGUCAAAUAGGCUCACUGAAAAGGCAAAAACUAUAAACAAUACUUCUAUAGUAACUAGCCUUAACAACAUUCUCAAUAUUUAAAUAAAGAAAACUAUUUUGUUGUCUAAUUCGCGAGCCAAAUAAGCUCAUCGAAUCGGCAAAAACUGCCGAAUGAAAUAAUAAUUAAUGAUUUAAUAUCACAAAUUAAAUUUUAAUUAAUAGUUUUUAUUUGGGAAUAAAUUUGUUUUAGAAAAAAAGGUGGAACAACAGUUUCUGCCGUAUAUCGAAUUAUAUCAGCUUAUUUUAAAAAUUGAAUAACUAUUAUUAUUGAAUACAAAAAGUUACGUUUGAGAGCAAGAAAAAGAAUAAGGGCUUAUUUUUACACUUGUUUUCGAAUCAAACACUGGCUAGAAAAAUAGUCCAUUACAUAACCAAAACACGCCAUCAAAAAUGUAAAAAAUGUUUUAAAAUCAAAACUUUUAAAAUUCACGGUUAUUUUAAAGAUAAAAUUUAAACAAUUUCUUUUCUUCUUUUUUUUUUUAACUUGUUUUUCUCAUUAUUGGGAUUCAACCGAGUACGGCCUCCGUCCUCUUCCCUUUCGCUCUGCGACGCUAACAACCGCAUCACUGCUGUAAGACCACCUUUUGGAAUCCCCAGACAUGUGGGCCCCACCCGUCGUCAUGCUGGUAACCUCUAGGUGUAACCGUUACUCUGAAUACUGUUAAUCACCACCGUACGUUUGGCAUCUAAAACCCCACCACCGCGAAAAUUCCCACGACGAGCAUCCGAUGGCUCCUGUUCACCGACUCUUUUUCCUCCUCCCUCUUUUUUCUUUUUCUUUUUCUUUUUCUUUUUUUAUUUUUAUUUUUGAAAAAAAAUUAUAUUAUUAUUUAAUUUUUAAAUACGAAAAGGUAACGCUUCCCUCUCCCUCAUUAUAUUCCCCCAAAGCGCUCCUCCUCCCAUUCCAAUCCCUACAAUCGCCGACAAUGUCUUCUUCUUUUUCCUUCUAAACUAAACUUUUUAUUUGAAUUUAAAUUUUAAAUUUGAAGUUCGAUUUUAAGUACGUACCUCUGUUUUUGAAUUUGGAGAUGGGGAAUCUCCGGCGCGGUGGUUCCGGGAACGCGGGGCUCCGCGCGCGCGUGGCUCGUGCCGCCCUACCUCUUCAUCACCGUCCACCUCAUCAUCCUCGUCAUCUGGAGGCUCUCCGACCACAAGCUCCACCGCGACCACUCGCCGCCGCCGGCGCAAGAGGCGGCGGAGGAGCCGGCCGCGAAGCCCCGGGAUCUCGCGCGCAAGCCCACGCCGGAAUCGUGGCACGAGGAUCCGGCGCCGCCGCCGGAGUCGUCGGAGUCGUCGUCGUGUGUCACCACGGAGUCCGAUGAGGGAUCCACCGCGUCCUCGCGCGUGCUCGGCCUCAAGAGGAGCGUGAAACCCUCGCCGGGGAGCGUCAUAAGGGUCGAGGAGGAGGAGGAGGAGGAGGAGGAGGAGGCGGCGGCGACGGUGGGUGGGGACGAGUUGACGCGGCGGUUCGAGGACUUCAUCAGGAGGAACCACGACCAGAUCCGGCUCCAGAGGGAGGAGAUGAUGAUGAAGAAUCAAAAGAUGCGUUAAAUCGAAUCCAAAAUCCCAAUUAAUGAAGCUCUAAUUGAAGGGAUUAAUUACAAGUGUGUUCUCUCUCUUGGUGUUUUUAGAUCUCUCUUAGAUGGAGAGAAAACACACACACAACCAAAUUUUCAGGUAAUUAAUUUCGUUUUAACCAAUUUCACCAAUAAAAUUUGGUCUCCUAAUUUUUCUAAUUUAAAUUAUGUUUAUCAGUUAAACUGGAGGUUCCAUCACAUUUAAGAGCAAUUUUAGUACAUUUAAUAUUUCAAAUACUAUUUUUGCCUAAUAGAGUUAUUAUAGAUUUAUUAGAGUUUAGGGGCUUUAAUUGAUUUAUUAUUAGAGUUUUUAAUAUUUUAAAAACUUCUUGUGGUAAAGGAUUCAAAAUUUGAAAUUAUUUUUUCCCUACUUUUUAUUAAAAAACCAGUGCCCACUUUAACGAUUCCUCUGUUUGGAACUGCAGGUCGUUUUCUUUUUAUUUGAAAUGCUAGAUAUGGGUGGAUGUUGCUGUUUUUAGAAUACAAAGUGACUUGCAUGCUGAUAGAGAAGAAGAAGAGUCUGGGUACUACUACUUUUUGUGUGUAUGUGUGUGUUUGUGUUUUACUUGUGUUCUUAUAAUUAACUCUCUUAAUAUAGUUGUUUUACUGAUUACACAGUUUUAUUUUGUUCUGGGUAUAUUAAGGUUUAAUAGUGUGCUGGAUUUAUGUGUUUGUGGAUAAAAUCUAGUUUUUGUUACUGGGUGGAGGGUCUUUGCUUACUGAAUUACUGCUAUAGUGCUAUAGUAAGAAUGUUACCAUUUGCUUUACAUAUAAAUUCCACUUCUCAUGCUUGCUUGGGCUAUUAAGAGUUAUGGCUUGUUUAGUAUCCAAUGUUAUUUGAUGAAAGUAUUGUCUGAGAUUUUGUUAGCGAGCUAUCUGUUUUGUUUAUUUUUCAGUAAUAAACUUAGCUAGAAAUGUAAAGCAAUUAGGCUUUGAAUGUGUAAACUUCGGGUACCCUAAGGUGUGGUUGGUAGUAUUGUUUGAGAAAUUUACCUUAUUUAAUCCUUCAACAAUUUUUCUACAUAGCAAAAUCAGAAACUUCAAAUUAGAAUUCUUUUACUAUGCUCAAAAGUAGCGUCAAACAUGCUCUUAGUUUGUAACUUACUAAUUUUCUUAAAUACUUUCUUCCCACCCUUUAGCAAUAUAUAUAUAUAGAACUAGGCUAAUAUACUAUUAAUAGCACCAAGUCAUUGGUGCUACCAAGUUUUUGGCCAUUGGAUUAAGAGAUCUACGGUUAGUAUGAUGUUGGCCCCCUAGGGUUGAGUAGGUGGUUGGUUAAAUAGUAUGAUCUAACACGUGAAAAUGAUCAAAAGGGUAGAUCUAACGGCAGAAAACUUGAUAGUGCCAAGUGCUUCAUGCUAUUAAUAGUAUAGUAGCCGGACUCAUAUAUAUAUAUAUGCUAUUAAUAGCAGCCGGACUCAUAUAUAUAUAUAUAUAUAUAUAUAUAUAUAUAUAGGCCAUGGCUACUAUACUAUUAUGAGUAUUGGAGCUCUCGUACUCAUAAGUUGUUUUCAAUGAUGAAGCUUCCGAAUCGACGAUCCACUCCGUUAAAUAUGAUCUAGAGUAUUUGAAACUUCUAGAAAAUAAAUUUCGUAAAUUUUCGAAAUCAUAAUAAAGUCCAUCAGGUGGGCAUAAAAUGAAUGGUCAAAAUCGAACGACGUUCUAAAAAAGGAUGAUCAGAUCCUUCAAUUCAAGAUCGGAGUUAUUGAUCUUUAUCUAUGUAGUGAAUAGAAUUUUUUAUCAAAAAUUCAACAAAUUUCAAUUCUUUUACACCGUUAAACUAGCAAGUAUUCUAUACCAGUCGUUAAAAAUUGUCAAAUUUGUGACCUAUUGAACGUAAGGUAAAUGAUGUUGAAAAAUUAUAAAAUUUGAUUUCUAGAAUUUUUAAAUGCUGUAAAAGAAUCAGAAUAUAUAUAUAUAUAUAUAUAUAUAUAGAGAGAGAGAGAGAGAGAGAGAGAGAGAGAGAGAGAGAGAGAGAGAGAAUUGGGCUGAAAUAUUAUUAAUAGUAUUUGAGAUUUUUUACUAUAAAGUUUUUUUAACUCUUUGAUGAAAAAUUAUAGGAUUAGAAUGAUAGUGAUCCCCUAGGGUUUAGUGGUGAUUACUUUAGGGUUGAGUGGGUGGUUAGUUGAAUAAUACGAUGUAAAAGGUAGAAUUGAUUAAAGUGUAGAUCUAACGGUUAAAAAAUCGAUAGUAAAAGAGUCAAAAUACUAUUAAUUAUAUUCAUGUUCAACUAUAUAUAUAUAUAUAUAUAUAUAUAUAUAUGUCCUGCUUAUAUUUUGUUAUAUUUUAGUGUAAAUUUAGGCCAUGGAUGCAUGAGUGAUAUGUGAGGGAGAUUUUCCCUAGUCCUUGGUCCUUUUCCAUGGUGCUUGUCUCCUUGUUGAGAGAACUACAUGCUUUUUAGAGGAGAGAGAGAGAGAGAGAGAGAGAGAGAGAGAGAGAGAGAGAGAGAGAGAGAGAGAGAGAGAGAGAGCUUCAUGUUUCUUUCACAGAACCAAGUUAGUUAUUUAACUGCAGGAAUCAGGUCACAUCUUUGUUGUUCAUCUUUUUCCAUGUUAAAAGAUAGGCUAAAUUAUAAAAAGCUUUUCUUGCAUUGCUUGUCUUAAUUAUCAUUGGAUAAAAAAAUGAUAUCAAUUAAACUCUGUCAUUAUCCUAAAUAGGUCUAGCUAUUUCGAAUAAUUAUUGAAUUUAGCUAUAAAAUUUUAUGAAAUUAAAUUUACGGAUAAAGUUAUCUAUAAAUAAUACAAUAGAAUCAUAAAAUUGAAUAAAUUAUUUAAUAAAUUUGCAAUUUUGGUAGUAUUAGCAAAAAAGAAUAUCUCCUUUAUCUAAAUUUUUUAUAAACUUUUUUGAGUUGCGAAUUAGAUAUAUGUUGAGAUGUGGAAUAAUGUGAUAAUAUAUCAACUGUUUUAGUAAUUUUACAGUCUAUUUUGCCAAUUUUCUAAUUUUUUGGAUUUAUUUGAGAUAGUGACAAAGUGUAGAAUGAUAAUUAAUGUAUUUUUAAUAUAGGGGAGCAAGUGAGCAACUGUGAUUAGGGCUAAAGUGUAAGGGGUUUUUUCUUUUUUAAUUGAGCAAUAUUACAUAUACAUCCUAAAGGGUGGUGUACAUCUUACACCCAUUUCAUUCUAAGGUCAUUUUUGUCACCUCAAUUUUUUAAAUUUUUUUUAAAAAUCAAUUCGAUUUUUAUCAACCUUAAGAAUGUGGAUGUAAGAUCGAUGCAUGUACACUUUUUUGGGGUGUACAAGAAGUAUUUUUCUUUUUAAUUUAGCCUAAAAGUUAAGAAUUGUGGAUCCUAAGUGCUAACCAACUAUCUCAAAAAUACAUGCUGAUAGGAAUGUCGCACCUAUCGUACUUAAGGGCUCAAUCACAACGCUCGCAAACUUCAACCUGACUUAAUCCAUCUGAACGUUAGGUCUAUUGUUGGGCCUCUUGCCAUUAGGUCUUUUGUGGACCGCGUCUUUACUCAACUUAUUAGCCUCACCUAACACAACUUAUUAGUCUCCGGAGCCUAUUGUCACGGGAUAAGAUGUUGGACCUAUUUUAGUCUAAUAAUAAAUAGCCAACAAGAAUAGCGUCACUUAUGCCCUUUAGGGCCCGUUUGGUUCGAGUUAUGUAAUAUUACAAAGUAUCUCGACAUAUCCAGGUAUCUUAGAUUUCGGUGUGAGAUUACUACUGAAGCUGCAUUAGAGCGUUUGGUUUAAUACAGUAAUGUAAUACUAGAUUACAGUGUUUAUAUCAUUAAUAUGUUUGGCCCAGUUUAUAAAAUUUAGUAAUCCUGACAUAAAAGUAUAGUUUUUUUCAAAAUUGCCCUUGUUGUGGUCAUUUGAAUAUUAUUUUUUGCGAAAAUGACAAACGGAGGGAAGGAGAUCGUGAUGAUUACUUGGGAGGACGACGCAAUAGAAGAUGAUAGGUGUUCGUGCGAGAGAGAGAGAGAGAGAGAGAGAGAGACGUCGAGAGAGAGAGAGAGAGAGAGAGAGAGAGAAAGUGGCGUGCGAGAGAGAGGGCCGGGGGGAAGGCGAGAGAGAGAUGAAAAUAAUGCUGUUAAUUAGAUUUGGAAUUGUUGGAGGGUAAAAUUAUCAUUUUACAUAAUAUGUAGUAUUAACGGGUUUCAGUAAUAAAAGAUACACGACCCCUCUCCCGUUAAUAUUUUCGAGGUAAUCCUGCUUGAUUUGUAAUGCUACAUUAGCGACUAGAUUACAUAGUAGAUUAACCAAACACAGUUAUCCUGACAGGAUUGCCUGUAAUCCUGCCAGGAUAACUCGAACCAAACGCACCCUUAUAGUUUAAUGUAUUUUCUUUUUGCUCAGUGAUGAUAUUGCUUUUAUUACACUAUAAAAAUAUGUAGUUAAAUAGGUUUGGAAAAUAAUACAAUUUACAAACCGCAAGGUAAUAAAAUAAAAUUUGUAAGCUACAAAUAUAUAAGUUAUUAAUAUACGAUAUUUUAAUAUCCUGUGGUUUAUUAUUUUAUAAUUUGUAAAAUAUAUUAGUCUCCUGUUCUAUUUGACAGCAAAUUCUUAUAUCUACCUGGUAAUAAAGUGAAUUUUUUUAAAAAUAUUGAUAAUCCAAUAAAAAUUUACAAAGACAUGAUUGAAGUUUUUCUUAAAAAAUAUAUAAAUUAAUUUCUCAAUUGACACAAUAAUGGAAAAGUCUAGUAUGAACCAAUGUAACCUUUUUUAUUCUCACUUGAAACUUAAUGCUUUCACAUUUAAUUCCAUAUUAUUAUAGGGAUCAGGAUCAUGGGUCAUAUUAAUUCAUCUUGACUUUUGACUAUUUAUUUCAUAUUGACUUUUGACUUGUGACAGUUACCUAAACACUAAAACGACUUUGAAUAAAAUCUCAUUAACUAAUGUUUUAAAAGGGCAUUGACUGACUCUAUGCUGUAGUCAAUUUGCUACAUCAUUUUUUUUCCUCUUUGAAAGAGGGAAAAAUUGGUCCCCUAAUUAAUAGGAUAAGGUUGAUCUAUCCAUUUACUUUGACUACUCAUUUCUAUCUUUAAAAUUUUAGGGUUAACUUAUUUAAUAUUUAUGUCUUCAUUCAUUUAUUGCAAAUGCAGUUUCUUUCUUUGUUUUCUGACGUAGUUCCUAUGUUUUUCCAACCCUAAAAACUCGAACCUUGUUAAAGUGUGUUUCAUAUUUGAAUUCAGAAUAUCUAACAGCGAGUUGGAUUGGUAAUUUGUAUAAAUGCUACCUACACUGAGGUGGAUUGGUAUUUCAUAUAAAUGUGUUGAGGUUCGACUUAUGAAUGAUUCAAAAUUUUCAUUGUGUAAGUGGGACAAGUACUUUUAGGUCAGAAUUAAUUUACCUAUUGCCUCAAAUUUUAUGUUUUCGAAGAGCUUCCGAGUUACUUUGGCUCAUGAAUUUCUCAAAAUUUAUCGAUAUGAUUAUGCUUUAACAUCCAUGGAUUGUUACGUACCGAUCUAGGAUUUCACGUGAAAGGAAAUUUAAAUCUUUGACUUAGUAUUCUAUUAUGAUUCAUACAAAAAUGCAGAAUCACCACUGUCAUUUGAACAUUAGAUAUGUAACACCAAAAGUUUUAGCUUCAUCGGCUAUUGCAUCAAUCUUGAAGUAAGCUUUCAUUAGUCAAUUUCUUACAACCCCGUUUGAGUUAGGUUGAUGGAGGCCCUAAAGAUGCAAUUCGUGACCUAAAUCGCGAUUUAUUUAUUUAUUUAUUUUUGAGAGAUAGAUAGCACGCUACCUGUUUCGUUUAUUUUAUUUAGAAAUAAACUUAGCUGAAAAUGUGAAUCAACUAGCAUUCGAACUUGGGAGUUAGGAACUCGGGUACCAACUACCAAACUCUUUGCCACUUGCUCUAGGGGUACAGUCGGUCUAAAUCGCGAUGUUGCCGACCAAUUUGUUCAUUUAUUGUUGUCACAUUUCUAUGAUUAUGAUGAUGCUUCAUUACUUGUCAUGUUUCUUAAUCAAUGUCCCUACUCACCCACUACAAGUUCUUUUAGUUGAAUAGCUUUGUGGUCCUAACUAUCCCUAUAUGCUAUCUCAUUUGGAGCUAAGUUAUAUAUAUAUAUGAUACUUUAAGCCACAUUUUAUUUUUAUAAGGGAUUAAGUUUGGAACUAAUUUGAUCAUUAGUUGGUGAGAUUAUUCCUUCAACAAAUUUUUCACCUUUUGCAUAAGAUUUCUCUUAUUCUACAUGAACAUUUACAUCAUAAAAACCAAAAACACUUGUAAGCAUUAGAUUAAAGAGCUCUCAAUCCUACUGCUUUGGUUUUUAGGCAAAUCUCAAACAUUAAAUUUUUCUAUUUUCCCAUGAAUUAAUUUAUAAUUUAAAGAUUCAAAAUUGAACCAUUUUGAAACCACACACAAAAAGUUUAAUUAUAAACAUAAAAUUUUGAAAAAUAUUUUGAUUUAUGAUCAAGAUUUUAUCAUAAAUAUGAAAUUUUAAUAAACUGCUCGGAUAAAAAGUGUACAAAAAAUAUUACUAUUCAGUUUUCAGUGCGGUAGGGUUAAGAAAGAUGUUCACAAAUCGAACUGAAACCGAAAAUUGAAUUUCAAUAAACAGAACCAAAUAAUCUCACUUCGUUUGGUUCGGUUUGGGACCAAACUUUUCAAAACACCCCUAGAAAAAGCCCAUAAAUAGAUCAAAAACACUAGUAAACAAAAAUUCAUCUUUCCGAUAGCGGUGAUGGCUAGUAAGUGUGUGAAUCUCAUACAUGAACAAUUAAAUAGACAACUAUAUAUUGAUGGAGAGUGGCACCAACUGAGCUGAAAAUGAUGUGCAUGGCCAAACCAACAAAGCCAAGACAAUGUGAAGAUCAAAAAGCUUGAGCAUGAUAUUUUCUCUCUCUCUCUCUCUCUCUCUCUCUCUCUCUCUCUCUCUCUCUCUCAUAUAAGUGGAAGGGCUCCUUAUCACAUAUAUAUGAUGAUGGAUCAAAAGAAGCCAUUAAUGCUUCAUCUCUUGNUCUCUCUCUCUCUCUCUCUCUCUCUCUCUCUCUCUCUCUCUCUCUCUCUGUUGUUAGUGGCAUCUCCAGGAUGAGUGUGUUAGGGAACAAAGAGUCCCCACAUUCGGGUCCACGCCUCGCGGUCUUUCGCAGCCUUCGCCUCAGGCUUGCGUAACUUGAACAUGGUCAUAACUCGCGACAAAUCUGUAGAAAAGCAAAUCGCUCUCAAUCGGCCAUCGACUACUCUGAAAUUUCAAUACAAAUUCUUGCAAAAGGAUAAAGUUGUUAACUUGUUUCUGUAAGGCUGCAUUUGCUUCGCGGAUAAACAAGGAUGAAUUGGUUUGUUCUAUGUCACUUUGAGAUUACAAAUUGUAACACCCCUGCUUUAGCCACUUAAUUCUUGAUUAUAAAAGUAAUUUUCUUUCUUUUUUAUUCUAAGAAUUUAAAUUCAUAUAUGAGAACCACAAAACUCCAAAACUAGUUUGUAUUGUACAACAUUGUUAGGUACCUCAGUACCUGCCUUUGUAGUCAUAUGAAAUUGCAUAAAGGCUACUUACACUUUUGAUCCUCAAACUAUUAGGCGCGCGGCACUUUAGUUCUCAAACUUUGAUAUGUUACAGUGUCUUACUCAAAAAAUUCUUAAAUUAUUAUAAUUUUUAACUCAUACUUUUUAAAUUAUUAUAAUUAAAUUUCACAAUCUAAUUUAAUUAAUCAAAUAUUAACAUGUCGCAACGAUGAAAGUGAUGCGGUUCAGCAGUAUUAUAUUGCUCACUUGGUACUCAAACUAAUAGGUGCGUAACAUUUUUUGCUCAAAUUUUUAGAAUUGUUGUAAUUAAGUUGUACAAUCCAAUUUAGUUGAUUAAACAUCUUAGAUAUUGGCACAAUAUCAAUCACAACACAAAUACAUCAACAAUUUUUAAAAUUUAAAUUGAAAAUUUUAAUAAAUUAAAAUUUAAUGAUCUCAUAGUUUGAGGCCGUAUGAUUUGCAAUUGUUUAUAGGAAUAAUUACCUAUAUAUCCCUCAAAACUUUAGAAAUAUUUCAUUUACUUCUACUUUUUUUUCUUUUCAGUAUACCCCUCAUAUGUUCCUCCGUUAUCCAAAAUGUCUCUACAGUUAUCACCCGUUAAGUUAACUUGGUUUAAACGUGAUUUAAAUAUCUACCACAGUUAAAAAAAAAUAAAAUGCCACUUUUAUCCUUAACUUAAGGGCAAAUAAGAAAUAUUGGUGAUGGUAGAAAGGUAUAUUUGAAAAGACCAAAAAGCAAAAUAUUUAUUUUGCUCCUAACUUAAGGGCAAAUAAGAAAAGUCGGUACUGAUAGAAGGAUAUAUUUGAAAGGGCAAAAUAGUAAUUUUAUAGAAAUAACAGAGUUCAUUAACAGAUUUUAAUUUUAUAGAUAUAUUUAAAAUAGGUUAGAACGUAAAAAAUGUGUUUUCAAUAUUAGCUUUCUAAGAGUGGUAAAUUAGAAAGUCGAAGACUUUUCAGGAGUAUAUAAACAAUUGCCCCUAGUUUAUAAUUAGUUUAUAAUUAGGUGGCGUGCUAUUUUCCGAUUUAAUUAAUUAAUUAUUAUAAUUUAAAGGGUUGUCGCUCGUUGCGGUGUAUGGAGGGCUCGGAGUGGGCGACGUCGCGAUCGAACCAAACGUGGGCUCGGGGACUGGGUUGGCGUGUUGUGUGAGCAAAUCCUAGCCGUCGAAUUUUAGGGAAUUGGUGUAGCCACUAUUUUUGUGGCCCCACGAUAUCACGCCUACUGCAUUCUAUGGUGGAGGUGAUGGGUCAUAACUCAUAAGAGAGAUGAGGUGUGAUAUUAUGGUUUGAUUCAUUGCUUGGCCUUUGCGAAAUUAAUAUGUAGAUGAGAGGUUCAAAAAAAAAAAAGAAAAAGAAAGAGAAAAGAAUACAAUAGAAAUUAACGGGUCUGUUUGGUUUAACUUCUGCUGUCGUGUUGAAUAUUGUACAGUGGUGAGUGAUAAGUAAUGCAUCAGGCGUCGAAGUUUAAUCGAUAAAGUGCUUUCAUUUUUUAUUUUCUUUUUUCUAUUAUUUUAAGAACUAUUAAGAAGGAUGCGCAGUUUAUCCAUCCCAUCAUAAUUUAUUUUUUAAUAAAAUUUGUUGUAUUUUAUCUCAAAAUAAAAAAUUUGGUUGACUUGAGAUAGAGUGAUGUUGUACCACUGCUAAAUAAAAGACCACCUAAGUGGUGAGGCAUAGUGGCAAAAUUUUAUUUUAAGAAAAAAAAAAAACAAAAAGAAAAGAGAAACUACCAACCUCCUAUAUCCAAUAUAAUAGAGAUAGACCACCACUAUGGUUUGGGUUGUAAUCAUGGCCUUUUAUAGGUUUACACCAACCUAAUUUUAUUUUAGGAUAUUGAGGCCCUUCCACUGCUAAUAAGUAAAAUAAUAAUACGUUAUACUUCUGUAUUAUUCGGUGGAAUUUUAAAAAAUAUAUCAUAACUGAUUUAUUUUGAUAUACGGAAUGUGAUAGUACAGAAUAAAUACAAUAUUUUUUUCAUUUUAUUUUCUCACCGCACAUAAUGUAAUCUUUCUGCAAUUCUAAUCGAUGCUUAAAGGGAAAACUCUAUGAAAAUUCCCAGUAUAGAUAUUAGAGGAAUAAAUUAAUUCAUGUUCAUGAUAGGCAUCUAUAUAAAAAAUAAAAUAAAAUAAAAAUAAAACCAAUCGUCCUUAAAGUAUAUGAGUGAACGUUGGAAAUUUUGAAUGGUACACUUUCUCAAAUGCAUAAUUGUUAAUUUGACCCCAAAAAAACUCGACCAUCAUUGUAAUAUACUUUGAAGAAGCUUUAGAAGGAAAAUUACUCUAUUCCAAUCUCUGCUAAAGAUGGAAAAAGUAUGAAAAUCUAGUUAAGUUUUUCUUCCAAUACUCUUUCCAGUAUGAACUAAUCUUUAAGGUAUUAAUUUUGGUUAUAUUUGAUUGAUCACAAUUCGCUACGAAUCGAAAGUUUUCGCUCUCUAUCUUUUAAGUUGUUGUCGACGCCGGAGACUCGCAAUCUCCAAUUUUGCUGCAUUCCUUCUUGCAGCUGCAGUUGAAUGUGUUCGCAGACGCCGAACAUUCACGAGCUCUCUUCUCUCCUGUAACAAUCUUCAGAAGAAAAAAAAAAAAAAUCAAUCUUAAUUAGAACAAACAUUCCUCCAAUAUUGUUCAGUUUAUCAUAUCACAAAUUUUGUUCUAGUGUGACAAAAUUUUAUCUGUACAUAAAAGAGAAGGGCGUAAACUUACGUAAUUCCCCGACGCUGAGCUUCUGUAGAUGAUGAAAACGUCGCCCGAUUGAAGACAAUGCGCCUUCACGAAAUCACCUGCAGCGAAGGCAAUAUACGAACAUCAUGCACGACGUAAUAAAUUCUGAAAAUGCAUUCAAUUAAUGCAUACCAGUAGCUUCCAGAAUAUACAUUCUGCUUCUGUUGUUUGGCCAGAACCUGAAAGUAAUGUAACUUAGUAUUAUAUCGAAAUAAUGAUAAUAAUAGAGGUUUUUUAUGUUCUCUACAGUAGUACAAAAACUUACCUAUACUUGAAUUUCCAUGCAACAGGAAGUAUUAGAUCAUUCAUGAGCAGCAUUAUUCCAUCUCUUUCAAUCAAGGGAGGAAGAUUAGCUUCUGCUUCCUUCUGUAAAGUGAAGUUAAUUUAUAAUUUCAAAUUAGUGAAUCAAAUUGCUCAUCUUUGCACAUUGUAUUGUAGUUAGAGAAUUCUCGAUAGGUUCCACUCCAAGAUGAUAAUCAGUAGAACUGACACAAAUUUCAAUCUUUUCGAAUCAAAAUGUUUCGUUAGCGAAAAUUUUACAGAGCACAGAUGCAGUUCUACUUUACCUUGGGCAGUACUAUUCUACCAACAGUUCCGACAUCGCUCUUCGUCAGCUCUUUGCGCACAAGUAGUCGCAAUUCACUACCUCCAAACUUAAGCUAGAUCACAGAAAACAUAGUAAAGGAAUUAGUAUAUUUGUUCCUGAUGAGCAUUGACCGUAUCAUAACAUGAAAAGCUACUCUUAUCCCCAUAGAUGAAACUCCAAAUAAUGCAGCUGAAUCCUUUCAAAAAAUUAAAAUUACCCAAACAAAAAUUCGAAGCUUGUCGAAGAAAUGUAAACUUGCCUAUGUCAAAUACGGUCGUGUAAUAUAGCAUCGAAGAAUAAUUAGUUCGUAGCGUUUUUUAGGAACAAAAAGUUAAUCAAAAAAUUACAUGCUGAAUCACAUUCUUUCGGAAUCAGUUGGAGAUUUUUGUUUUCUAACAGUUUCUUAUGGAGAUCAUAUGCUUAAAAAUUUUCAUGUAAAGUUAUAUGUUAGAGAUCUAAAUGAAUUUAUCAAUAGUUCCAUUUUCCUGUUGCUGGCAUCAGAAGACGAUGAGAACAAAUAACUUCAAAAAACAAUCAUGCUGCACAAAGUAAGCAUGUCUCAUACAUCAUCGCGCUUUCCCAUAGAAUUGUGCGAAAUUGGAAGGCCAUAAAUUUGAUGAGUUCGCGGCUCUUCGCAUGCUUUGGACUGGACUACUCUGCAGCUCAUACUUCUCAGGGACUCCUGAAAAGCAGCACUAUGCUUAACAAUUGAUAUGCAAAGCAUAAAUGAUGGAUUCAAAGAUAGUAAUCACAUGAUUCAUUUGGUACUAUUACCUCUGAAUUCUUAUUUUGCUUGGCAUAUGAAGGUUCAUAUUGGAAGAAAUUCAUAAGCAUGCCUUUUUCUGAUGCAGGACAGAGCGGCGGAAAAGUCGGCGGCACCCGCAAGACAGACCUGACAUCUGAUGCAGAAAGCUUCAAGAUAGUUCAUCACAAUAAAAUGAAACUAUACAGAAAGAAGUUGCAUACUCUUUUUUUUUAAAAAAAAAAAAUUUUGAACACAGAAGUUGCAUGCCUACUGUAAGUUAAGAAGUGUUGUCAUUCUAUAUCAGGAAAGUGUAAGUUGCUAUUGCAGUAAACACCUCUUUUGGCGGUAUUAUCGUAAACACUCUAAUAACGGCUAAUAUACGCAAGCACUUUGUGUUAUAAAUUUUCCAAAAAUACAAUGAUCAAUAUUAGAAUCUUUGUGGCAAAUUAAUUACAAAAUGUUUUUCAUUAUUCACCAUUCUUUGACAACUUAACUACUUAAAAAGUGAAAUGCUAUGUUGUACGAAGAUCGACUGUAUAUGACGAAAUUAUCCCGACUUCUUGCUAUUUACAUUGUUGUGUCAAUUAAGUGGUACUAUGUUAUUUGAGAAACUAAUUAUUGCAAUUGAGUGAAAAGAAUUCGAUCACCGAAAAUUCACUUCUAUUCUGAGAUCCACUAAAAUCAAAAACUAUAUAAGAAAGAGAUGCCAAUUCAAGUGAAAUUUUUAAUAAAACAGUAAACGAUAAGUCUAAACGCAUUUAGAAUUUGAUACCUGAUUGCAUAUAAAGAUUGUUGCUGUUGAUUGAAGAGCAGCUUUCUAUGAGAGUACUACAGGGAUUUCUCAUGUGAUCAGUCCAUGAAUUCUGAUUCGGAGUGAUAUUUGGAUAGAUUCCAUUGUAAAGUGAUGAUGCAUGAAAUGCAUAUGUAUUGUUCAGCAUCUGAUCAGUUCCCCAUUCUUUAGUUGCCGCUGAAAAUGCUAACGGAAUUUGGCAUUCAACAUUAUCAGGAGGUUGUUCACAGAAACAGCAACCUGCUGCGACAAAAAACACCGACGAAUCGCAAAUUUGUUAGAAUAGAAAUACCUGCAUUAUAGCAACCAAUCACUGACUCUCGACAAACAUCGAUCGUCAACUUCAACGCUGUUUUAAAUAUAUGAAUAGUAAAAUUAAUUUAAGUUAACAUUAGAUGCAAAAUGUGGUAUGUUCAACUCAGAAUCAAGUUGAUAAAUAGCAGUUUUUUUUUUUUUUUUUUGUGUGUGUGUGUAUAUAUAUAUAUAAGAAAAAAGAUAAGCCCAAAUUGCACCCUUGCCAUUUUUAGUGGCAUGGUAUAUCAAAAAGAAAAUGGUCAAAUAUUUAUACACAAGAUGCAUCGUAUAUGUAUAAUAUGGAACACAUCUCGCAUAACACCACGUGGUCUAUCAGACGUGCUCCAAACAGUGUUUAAAAAGCGCGCGCACAACGUCACGUGGCAGUUUCUAAGCGGUUUAAAAAAGAAAAAAAUUUAUCAGAUACGAUCUCACUUACAUGCACUUUUAACUACAAUCUUAAAGCACUAGUAACAUCCGAGAGUACGCAUCCUCACUCAGACGUAUCUGAUAAUUUUUUUUUCCCCCUUCCAGAGACACACCCUAUAAACUUUGUAAAAAAUGUUUUGAGAAAAAAUUUGUGACCUGAUUGGAUCAGCUGCGAUGAUGCGGGAAGAGAGAAGUUCUCACUGGGCGCAGGGUGGAGGUGGCCGCAUAACAACCCCUCACUCCUUUCUAUGCGGUCGUCUCUUUCCUUGGCGAUGGUAUUACAUGAAGCCCUCGACGCCGAAGGCGGUUUCCGCGAGGACCCUCCGCCCGAUCCCUUCGUCUCCAUCGGUGAUGGAGACGGAGAGUGUAAGGGCUUAAAGAAGUAAAUUUGUGUGUGUAUAUAUAUAUGAGGAUUUAAAGCAAUGAAGAAGAAGAAGAAGAAGAAGAAGAAGAUACCCUGUACACAUGCAAUAGUAGAAGAAGGUGAUAUAUAUAUGUAUAUAUAUGAAGGUUUUUUUUUAAAAAGGAAAAAAUAGCUAGGGUUAGAGAGAGAGAGAGAGAGAGAGAGAGAGUAAACGCACCAGCCGUUUUUCUCCGAGCCUUACACCAUUACUACACGGGAGAGGGAGAAAUGGAGAGCUUAUAUGGAAGGCUAAAUUACACCAGUGGUCCUCAUACUAAUAUGUAAUUGUAAUUUGCUCCGCAAACUUCAAAUUGUUGCUCUGCUACGAUUCUCAUACAGUCACGUAUCGAUAUAUUUAAUAUAGAGUGGUUUGAUAUAUUUGUAUGCGUGUUUAAAUUGCCUUGUAGAUAAUAGAUAGGAGACUCUUUAUAGAAAACUCAGAAUAAUUCUUAUAAAGUUACUACACGUCGGUACAUACGUACUGUCUUUCUGAUAUAAUAGAACGUUAAUCUGUACGUACUUAUUAUUUACCAAUUGAAUGAAGAAAAGAAUUCUACCGAAUCAUAGCUGCGCCAUCUAAUUUAUUGUGUUUAUAUUUUUUUUAUUAUCUUAAGAUUUUAAAAAUCUAUAUAGUGAAAUUUUAAUGUUUUAAGAACAAAGUUUGAGAAGUGAAGUGCAAUUAGUAGUGCGAGGGCUAUUGUGAAAUUUCACCUGAGGAUCAGCUAUUUACCAAAUUGUAGCAAAGCGUACUUCUUACCGUUCGAAACGUUGGCGCGUGGAAGUACUUAGCGAUAGUGAUGACGUGGCAGUUGUACGAACGGGUUGGAGCACGGAAACGAUGGGGUACUUGGGCAAAUGGGAAGAGGCUUUUUCGAAUUCUCCGCAGGUUAAUUAUGGUGCGGAGAAGGGGGGGAUACAUCACACAUGAGAUGCUUUAAACGCGGGGCCCACCGUAGUGAGCUGUACGGAUCCUACGUGGCGCGAUUUGGUUGGGGGGCAUGUGAGGUUGCUGUCUCUGAGUGUGCAGUUGGGUCAAAGGCGUUCGUAUUGGACAUUUUUUCCAACUUUGCAUGCAUGCACCGGGUGCACCAUGCGCCACCGCACUUUUAAAACGCCUAUACUUUUUUUUUCGUGUAUCAAAUACUGCUUCGUUUUAACACUGCACGGUCACAAAUAUAAAUUACUAAAUAUUGGAUGCGGUGUAUGAUAUGCACAGAUACAUCUGGUACAGGCGCGAAUGAAUUAUGGUAAUUAGAGAAAUAGCUCACGAACUAAAUUUAGAGUUGGUCAAGCAAUUGAGUCAUUCGUUGUAUCUGAGACCAAACAAGAUUACAGCAUUAAAACAAGCAGGUGUGCUCUAGUUAUUGUCUCAGGCCAAAUAGGCAAUCCACUGUAGCUAGAGGUGUCAACAUAUAUAUAUAUAUAUAGGAUGAAAUUAAAGGUAAGGGAAAGAAAACUAAGUGCCUGUUUAGCUCCGCUCUCGCAGGAUCGAUCGGCACGAAAUGCGAUAGCUCAUAGAUAAUACAAGUAACAAAGGAGAGUUUGAAUUGAUUGGUUUCUUAAUCUCACAAUCAGAUUUUCGAUUCUAGCAUCUGUGAUUGAUUCAACAUAAACAGUUUUGAGCGGCGAAACCGUAUUUCACUUGACUUACUGAUACCUUAUUUUACUCCCACGACUAGCACAUGAGAUGUACAAGAAUCUAUCGGUCUUAUUAAACACGACGCACAAAAUCGAGAAAGCCCCUAAACCAGACUGCGUACAAGAAAGUUGAUCUCGCGCAUCCAGCUUAUUAUACAUCGAGGAAGAGAGUCCUGCAGGAGACUCAUGUGAUGCAUUCGAAAAUGUCGAGCUGGUACUCAUCGGUGACUCGACGUAGGAGGCAUCUGGUAGUUCAUCGGAUUCAUGUUCACCGGUGCACCAGGGACUAAAGCCCCGCCAACUGGGGCCCGCACCCCGUAAGCCAUAUUGGGCGCGACAGGAACGGGAAGAGUAACGGGAGUUCCUACCGCAGAUACUAUGGGGCCCCCCACCGGCUGCCCUAUUGUUGUACCAUACACAUUGACUCCGGGGGGCCCGCCAGGUGGCUGAGAGGAUUGCUUCGAAUUUUUCGCGGAGUUCACAAUUUGACCAUUUGUUUGACCGGUGAUAGGUCCCGGAGGAGUCGAUGCGUCUCCAUUGCUCACAUUGGUUAUGUCGUGGAUGCUUGAUCGCCUCCUGUCUUUGUUCAUCGAGUUCAGGCGAAUAAAGUACUUCUGAGCGUGGCUGGCCACUUGCGUGGGUGUCCUAGAUAUUACAAAGUUUCGCGAAAUGCUCCUCCAAUCACCUUUGCCGUAUUUAUCAAGCCCGAGAAGAAAUAAUCUGCAGGAUAGAAAUCAGGCAAGAGAGGACGUAAAUGAUAGUGAUGAUAACCCUUGACUAAAACAAGUUUUGUUAUCCAUUACGAGAAAUCAGAAAAAGCAAAAGUCAGAAACAAAACCCUUGCGCAAAUUCAAAGACAUACACUACACAUUCUCCUAUUUCCAGGGAACAUUGCAACCUGGGAACAACGUAGAAUGCACAAAUACCGAGUUUCAAAUAGGAAUAUUCAUAACUCUAAAAUAUUUGCUAUAAAAAAAGCAUACACUAUGCUCACACAAGAUUACUGAGAUCAACAUUUGAGAAACAUAUAGUAUCUUAUUUGCCCCUUAAAACUUCGUAUGUAUCUGAUUUACUCCCGUUUCCAAAUUUGCCCCUGGAGCAGCGCCAGUUUCUUUCUAAUACGGCUGUCUCUGAGGGUUUAUUGGGGAGAUUUGAAAACUUAGGUAUAUUUGAAAGAUAAAUAUUUUUUAGGGGUUUAUAAGAAUAACCCCUUUGAAAAAAAUACCCACAUAAGGAUGACAGAAAAUCAUAGGGCAGUUCCAUUCACAUGAUAGAACAGACAAGGUUUUUUUUUUUAAUCAGUUCCCAAAGUACAUAGCCAUACAAUGUUGCACCCAGUUAAUUGUUAUAAAUGAUUUCUAACUUGCCAUAUCUUGUUGCCCCCAGUUAAUUGUUAUAAAUGAUGUCUAACAAAUGAAAACACCAGCAAUGACAUAGUCCUGAAGUGCCAGGGGAGAAGAAGAAUAGGUAGAAAUAGAACAAAGAUGCGAAAAACAAACAAACAAUUCUCACAUGACGAUGGCUAGAUUAAAUUUCUAGUUGUCAUCUUAUAACAACAUUCAUUUUUCCCCAGGGUUUUAAAUCUAGUAAGAGGCUUUCUCAUUCAUUUGCAGUAAGGAACUUUCUGUAAUUAUGAUAAAUUUCCACUUUGCAAACAUACCUAUGCAAGUAUAUGCACAUAUACAUAUGUGAACACAUACGUACAUUACACAAACUUGUUGCGCUGCCCUGUACGUUGACUUGAAAAUGUUCGAGAAAUAGAAAUUUCGGAUGCAUUCUUUUGCAUAUAAUCAGAUGGCGAAAAGGAAAAACCUACGCACCUUGAUAGAUAAGAACUAGAACCUGCUUCUCUAGCUACAACUUCUACCAUAGUCUAGAUUAAACCAAAUUCCUAGUAACCAGCAGACAAAAGAACGUUUCACCAAUGCACCAUUGAGGCCGAAAAAAAAAAAAAAAAAAAAAAAAAAAAAAAAAAAAAAAAAAAAAAAAUCAAGAUAACAUUUCAUGAGGAAGGACUCCUUUUUAAUAAACCAAUUCCUUCUUUUGCCUGAAUAAACUAAUCUUCCUUGAGUAUGACUGUAUGACCAUCCUUGGAUUAGAACUAUCUUCUUUUUUUUUUUCUUUUUUUUUUUGAGAGAGAGGAAGGUAGUAUGCUACCGCUUCAUUCAUUAAGAGAUUGAACUUAGCAACAAGGUUGAGACAAUUAGGCCUCAAGAAAAAAAAAAAAAAAAAAAAAAAACAGCUCUCUAACGCAAGCAGUGUGAAGCCCAAAGGUCUCUGAAGGAACAUAUGUCAGCAACCAACAGGUUCNUAUGAUCAGAUAGACAUCUUCAAACCAUAACUGGAAAAACAACUCCAAAUAGGACACCAUACAUGUCCAACAAAAAAAAAAAAAAAAAAAAAAAAAACAGCUCUCUAACGCAAGCAGUGUGAAGCCCAAAGGUCUCUGAAGGAACAUAUGUCAGCAACCAACAGGUUCAAGGGGAGUUUCUUGUUUUCAAAAAUUUUUCUAUUCCUCUCCAACCAGAUUGACCACCACGUAGUCGCAAUUGUAGCAAGCUCACGACCCCCUAGGGCACCGGCUUUAAGGCUACUUUCUUCCCAUAGUCGAUUCACAGAGUGACAUAGGUGUAGGGACGUCUUGUUUGGGAGCAAACUCCCAACCAGAAGUCUAGCAGAUUCAGAGAUUGUAAGACAGCAUUUCUUUUUUAGACCUUAGAACUCACUUCCAAAUUCUCUCCCACCCCCACUCCCCAAAAAAAAUAAAACUCAUUGUCGUUGUAUCUCGUAUGCCCAACGAUGUAAAAUAAUGUAAGGUGUUACUAAAGUGAAAACUAUAAAACAUUUUGUCAGAGAAUACCAUGAUAUAUCUGGUUCAUGCAACAUCAUGAAGAAUGUUGACAAGAUAGGGUGGCAAAAGUGGAAAUUCAACACAACAGCCAAUGGAUUUCCUUCUAAUUACUUGAAGGACAAACUUUAUACUGAGAAGAGGAUAUCAUGGCCUUAGGAAUAAACAAGUUCGAAGCCUAACUAUCUGAUUUAUUAUGAAAACAACUAUAAGAGAUGCAAAACAACUUAGCAUAAAGAACUAUCACUAAAUCUGUAAUUUUGCAUCAAGAGACCAUUAAUGUUUUGUUUCUGAAUACCCUUCAAGUUACUGAGCAAGGCAGAGAAAGACGGAUGCGCCGGUAUGCCAAGUUUUCAAAGCAUUAAACACUUGAUAGCUGCAACAUAAGAGACUGUGUCUAUUUCCUGCCGGACCCAUCUAGGCCAAAAUCAUAGAAAGUGUAAUAUUCAAAUGUUCUAUGGAGUACAGGGACUUUUCAACUAGUUUGACCAUUUCAAUUUCUUAAAAUGGAUAAGAUGAAGAAACAAUAAAUUUGACCUACGACUGAAAAUAAUGUAGAUCUCAACAUAUUCCGAAAAGAAACAGAAUCUCUCAAAUAUUUUUGCCCAAAAGAGAAAAAGGAAACUCCCAACUUGGAAUUAGAAUUGAUGCUAGGGCAAGUAAUUCUCAAUAAGUUGCUAAAACGAGUAAUUAGUCAGCCUUCUGGAAAUUGCAUAGCCACAGUGAAGAAUUAAACUGCUAAGUUGCAAGAUUGAGGAUGCAAUCUUUCCCAGAAAAAAUGGAGAAUGAAGUGACAGUUCAAAGAAAGAAAGGCCUCGUAACGGCCAUUUAGAACCGGGUACCAUUUAGGCAUGGUAAGGUCCUUUUAGCACCCGAAAUCAUCUAGAAUGAAAUACGGAGCAGUCAAAACACCUAAAAGAAUUUUUAUUUAAGAACAAAGUUCUUCACUGGUAACUGGCUUGGUGCAAGUUAAUACUACCAAAUAACUUAGUAUACAGAUCUACACAGUGAGCACUAGCAUCUAUUCUUCGGAGACAAAUAUGUGACUAAUUAAGAAUGUCGAGACACCAAUCUCCCAAUAAGCAAGUGCAACAGUAAAUUCUUUAACAAAAUUAGAAUUCUAAUGCCACUUACGUUUUUUUUCUUUUCCAUAUUUUAGGUAAUAAAUAUUAACAUGAAGGUUUAAGUUCACCUGUGCUCAUCCUCAGUCCAAGCUAUCCCUUUACGGCGCUCUUGGUCUGAUCUCGAACCCUUCCCACCAUGACCAGAAUCACCAUGCGAGUGCCCGCCCUUUUUCCCACUGCUUCCUUCAUUCGCAUGGUCGGCACCUUCUGAAGACGAAGCAUAAGACGGCAAGGGAACGCGGCCCAACUCGAUGCUGCUGAUGUCGUCGACUAAGAUCUCAUAGUGAAGCUUUACAUCUUCUAGGGUUUUCCCGGGGACAGCCGCCAAAAUUUUCUCCCACCGGUCGCUACAAUCCUCCGGCAAAGUCGCUAGGGCGUUCUCAAAUGCCUUUUCCUGCUCCCUGCUCCACGAAGAGCUGCUACUCGAUUCUUCCAUCACCAUAUUAGCUCACCGAAACCUUUGCGGCAUAUAAUCAAACAGUAGGUGUGCGAAACAACAUCUUAUGCAGCAAAAGAUGAGAUUUUUCACGUCGAAAAAAACCUCCAAGUCUCAAAAUUGGAGAAAUCCGGAUCUGGGUUACUCACCAAGUGGCAUAAAUAGCUGGGAAACCAUGCAGAAAAGGUGUUCGAAGUAAUGUUUUCACGAGCAAGUGAGCGACAAACGCGUCAGAGGAUAGAUGAAAGAGGAUUUGCAUAGCUCAACUGUGCCGCAAAGAGCCAAGAUACAAUUUUGCGCCCAAAUUUGGCCCUAGAACAACAACACGGGGCAAAUAAGAACACAAACAAAUUGGGAAUUUCUAGAGAAGUAAAAAAAAAAAAAAAAAAAUCAAAUUUAAAAAAUUAUAGGCCAAUGAUUGAAUCCACCAAAUAAUACAUCCCAAAACACAAAACAAAGAACAAGAAGAGAUUACCCGUACCUGGAAAUGGAGAAAACAAGUGGGGAAUUAGGGUUUUUGGAGCUCGAAAUGAGUAAAAGUGAGCAGGGUCCCCAGCGAAGGAACGCAACAACAGGGAUAAGAGAUUUUAAGAACCCAAAAAUAUCAUGCUUUUUUUUUCCUCUUAUUUUUUUAAAAUUUUUUGACAGUGAACUCUGAAGUAAACAAAAACUUGGAGAGAGAGAGAGAGAGAGAGAGAGAUCUACAAACAAGUCAAAAUCCAAUUUUUUUCACCCCUUUUUCCCAUCAAAUAUUUCUAAAAAUAAUAAUUCUUAUUUAAUAAAAAAAAAAUACCCACUUCUCCAAUCAUUGAGAUACAUUUAUAAUUAGCUUUGAUUGCAAACUCCGCCUACUUUUUCUUUUUCUUUUUUUUCCCCUCAACUUCGUAGCAAUCCACCAAAGUAUAUAAAUCCAAAAUGUUGAUUGCAACACCAAAACAACAUCUUUUUCACGUCCCUUUCUAACACAUAAAUAAACUUUUAAAAAAACAAAAAAUUACUUUAGUAAAAACCCCAAAAUUUACCAAAUUUUACCAAAUAUAUUGCGCACAAUCCCACUGUGGGCUUGUACUUUUUAUUGCCAGAAAUGGAAUGGAGGGGAGGAGAAAAAGUUUCCAAAAAGAGAAGUGCGAAAACCUAAAAAAAUUGUAAAAUUAAAUAAAUAAAUAAAUGGGAAAUGGGGUCCAAUUCCCCAACAAAGACGAAUAUUUUGACCGGAUUAAUUGAAAAAAAAUAAAUUAAGUGGGGUUAAUUUUGGGUUAGGAAUAAAUUGGGAAUUACAUAAAACAAAUAACUCACAACACAAAAACACAAUAUUUGUGUUGGAUAAAUCUUUCCAAUUCAACUUAAAAAAGCUGGUUUUUUUAAAAAACUCUCCAAAUUAUAGUGAUAGAUUUUUAUAGCUCUUCUAAUCCGACAAAAUAUAAAAAAUUCGAAACUCACCCCCUAUCUUAAUCUUUUGCAUAAAAAAAUACCCCUUUUAAAUAUAAAAUUAUGUAUAAUAUCAAUCUAUAUUAAUACGAACCAAACAGAUAUAUUUUAAAAAUUCAAUUUUAGAAUAGUAAUUUUUAAGAAAAAAAUUACUAAUGAAUUAACACCCAUAAUAUAAUUAUUAUUUUUAAUUAAUUCAUAUCUGCAAAUUUACGAGUGUGGUGAAUACCAAGUUUAAUUAUUUAUGUUUUUACAUGGUAAGCAUGUUGUCUAUAAGUACACAAAAAAGUGAAAACAAAAAUAAAUUAUAACUCCUUACAAGUUGGAGCAAAUCACAAGUGGUCAAUCCCGUGGUCAACGCAAGGAAAAAAAAAAAAAAAAAGCUCUUUGCCCUUCUAGUUCACUGAUCACUAUAAUUACAAUUAUUAAUUAAUUAAAAUGAGCCAAUGGUACUUAGCACAGUUAGUCAAAAUCUUAAUUAUUGAUAUCCAAAAUUUCAAAUUUUAGCUCAUCUCAUUUUUUUUAAAAAUAAACAAACCAAUUAGCUUGUUCUAUAAUUACGAUAAUUACAUAUGCGUCUCACACAUACUUAUCCUUCGAUACCGUCGAAAUUUAUUAAUAAUGUUUUAAAAAUUCAAACUAGGUGAUAUUUGAUAGUGAUUGUAAUUUUUUUUUUUCCUUUGGUGUAAAUUUUUUUAACUUGUUUUAUUAAGUUUUUUUUUCACUUAUAAUCAGAUAGAAGUUUUUAAAACCCUAGCAUGCAAAGAGUGUAAGAUGUACAGUUUAUUUCGAGUGUAUAAAUUAAAUAGCAAUUUUCUUUUAUUUCUCCAUGGUUAUUAUUUAUGCUUGUCACAGAUUUUAUAUUAUCUCACUAUCUUUGUUUUUUUAAUACAAUGACAUAAUCUCACUAUCCUAUUCACAUGCAUCUUGUGCUAUUAAGCCCAGGUCCCCUCAAAUAUAGGCCAUUUUGAAUAAAACUUUCAUAUUUCUUUUUUCUAUUGACACUUUUAAUUUUUAUUGUUUUUUAACAAAUUAAAGUAAUCUUUUUAGUUAAGUUACAAAUUAUAUUUAAUUUCAUAGCUCUAUCAACUAUUUAGCUAUUAACUAAUUAAAUUUACUUUGGUAAUGAGUUAUUAAAAUCAUUAAAGUGCUAGGAUAGCAGAUAGCACCAAUAAAAUCCUAGAUUUAUUUAAUUAAAAUUACUCAAUUCAAAAAGUCAAAGAUUAAGAGAAUUUUAAUAUUAUUAUUAUAAUAAUAAUAAAAGAAAGUUAAUGAGUCAUUUCAAAUUGGAAAAUAGUUCAAUUUUGCCUAGAGAGAAGGAGAGAGAGGAAAAAAAAGAAACAAAAAUUUGGUGGGAACAGUCUCUAACUUGAGACUGUGUAACGCACUGUUUAUUACGUGGAGUUUACAAAUUUAUUAAAUAAUGGAUUGGACGGUUCUGACUUUUGAAGCCAUUCCUAAGGUUUUAGCAUGCUACUCAUUUCGUUCAUUUUUUUUAGCAAUAAAUUCAUGUGAAAAUGUGAAGUUGCUAGACUUCAAACUUGAAAUCUUGAAUAUCGACUGUUAGGUUUUUGGAAAAACUUCAAAUACCACCCCUGUGGUUUCACAUUCCCUCACUUUAGUAUCCUGUGAUUUAAAAUAUAUUAAUUUAGUGUCAUGUGGUUUCAUUUUUAAUCUUUUUAUUAUCGAUUCCACUUAUUUUUUUGUUAAAUUAAUAAUAAAGUUAAAACCAAAGGAUACUAAAGUGAAUAUUCAAUAAACUUAUAUAGGGUAUCUAAAGCAUUUUGUAUAUAAUAUAAUAAAAUAUUAACGAAAAAACUGACAAAAAAAUAAAAAUGAAACCACAUGACACUAACUUGAUACAUUUUAAACCACAGAAUACUAAAAUGAGAAAUUAUGAAACUAUAUAGAUAGUAUUUAAAAUUUAUCUAAAAUUUUUUGUCACUUGCGCUAGAAUAUAUCAGUCAAGGACUAAGGAGUAGCUUUA